rnacentral:lncRNA from 1 species
GAACUGCCUAGUCCAUGGAUAGGUACAAGUUCAGGUAUAAAUAAGAAUUAGACCAAUUUUGCGUUUGGAUGAAAAUUGAGUUAUUCCCGGGAAUAAGAAAAAUACUGUUUGGAUAGAUAAGAUGGAAUAAGAAGAAUAGUAGGUAAUUAUAAAUAGAAAAUAAUGAUAUUGCACCUUAUAUUAUAUUUGAAUUUAAAAUUUAAAAUUUAAAUAUAUAACUUUUAAAUUUCAAAAAAUUAAAUUAAAAUUAAAAUUUUUAAUUUUUAAAUCUCAAAUUCACAAAUUUAAAGUUCUAAAUUUGAAAUUAAGAUUAAAUCUAAAUUUAUAUAUAUAAAAUAUUAAAAUUUAAAUUUUAAAAAUUUAAAAUAUAACUAUAAAUUUAAAAUUUAAAAUUUAGAAUUUAAAAUUAUAAAAUUUUAAUUUUAAGAUUAUAAAUUAUAAAUUUUUAAAAUUUAAAAUUUAAAGUUAAAUUUUUAAAAAAAUUAAACAGGGGUGGGGGUAGGAACAACUGUUCCCAUCCCUAUUCCCACAAAGGGGUGGGACAAUUAUCCCACCCUAACGGGUUAUCCCAGUCCUGGGUCAUAUAUUACAUGUUGACAUGCGUUGUGUCAUUUGUCGAGCUUCCCUGUAAAACCAUGAGGGUAUUUUUGAAGGAGCUAAGAAUACUUUUUAAAACGGUUCUACAUGAAUGAAAUCUUUAAGAAGGUUUCUACUGUUCUCUUGGAACUCUCUUAUGAGGCAUAUUACGAACUGAUAAAAUUACAUCAAUGUAAAUUUGCAAAACCUCCAUUUCUCAUAAAUUUUUUUCUAUUGCCAUCUAGUUGCAUGAAAAUGAUGGGAUACCCUUGAUAUAUGCAUGUAAAUGUAUCUUAUAUUCGAGUCAUAGUAGAAUGAAUAUAUGAGUAAAACCAAAGAAGUAAAUAAUGAAGUGCAGCCUCUCAUGAAAGUGGUUGGUGUGGGGAAGGAAAAAUAUGAAAAGUUGAACGCACUUGAGUUUGAUGGAUUGCCAAUAAUGUAAUCUUUAUUUACCAAUAUAAUGGUCGUCAAGUUUCACAUCAUAACCCAUGAGGGUCCUUGGACCUUGGUACAUCUAAUUAUCAAAAUCCAAAAAUUGCUAUAUGGUAUCAUAAUGAGGCUAGUUUUUUUUUUAAUACAUGAACCCUUGUGUAAGAAAUCAAUAUAUUUGAAUUGUUACAUUGUCUUAGUGUCGCUAUUGAUUGCAUUAUAUAGUGGUGGAGGGAUAUAUCACUAUUUUGCUAGGAUCGGCCUAUAUUACCAUGUGUUGUCGUGAUACAUUAACGUAGGUUGAUUUGUAUUAGUUAGGGAUCGGUGUCAGUUUCUUAUGUUGUUCUGAUUAUUCAGAAUACAACAUUUUCUGUGAUUUUCUGCUACUGGCUUCUUUAUACAUUGCAGGAAUUUGAGUUUUUGGGGUUUCAUGGUUUCUUAUUUACCAUGUUCACUGCUAUAAAUACUUCCCUUUAAAUUGGUUUUUUAUCCUGGUGAUGUUUUUAGCACAUAGAGCUGUCAGAAUCAUAAACAAAUUUUGUACUUGGGUGCUACUUUUGCAGGGAACCACGGGGCUUUGGCUUUGUCAAAUUCCGUUAUGCUGAUGAUGCAGCAGUGGCCAAGCAGCAAAUGAAUCAUCAGCUUAUUUGUGGACGUGAGAUUUCGAUUGUAUAUGCUGAAGAAAACAGAAAAACUCCGCAAGAAAUGCGCACGAACAGUAGAAUAAGGUAUUUUAUCAUUUUAUUUUUCUCCUCUUUUAAAUUACCACUUCAUUCGUGAUAUAUUGAAUGUAGUUUACAAUUUACAUUAUCCAAGUACUUAUAUGCUUUUGCUCGUGCAGUGAUAGAUACAAGGGCGAUGGUUAUAGAAGACGAUCCUCACCAAGAUCCCCUAGGCAUCAACACCAUUGUAAGUAAAUAGAGCUCUUACAAUCUAUACUUUUUUUUUUUUUUUUUUUAAUCUUUUUUGCUAUAAAUCAUAUUUAUGUACAAAAUUCCUGAAGUAGUAUUGCUGGUUUCUUGAACUUGAUUCACGUUAUUAUUUUUCUCAUCUUGGCAGCAUAUUCACGUUCACCUUCACCGCCCAGGCGUGACUCAAGGUGUGAUUUUUUCUUUAAUUUUUUAAUUUUUAGUUUGGUUAACCCGUAUUAGAUUUUUAUAGCAUUUUUAUUAAAAAGACCACAUCUUGUUUAAAUCAUAUUCAGAUAUAACUAAAUUAGUGGAGAUGUUUGAACUUUAUGGUUAAUUGCAUUUUUAUUUGCAUUUUCAAAAAUAAUAGUUAUUAGGAAAUUUCUCAUAUUGCUAUGCAAGCUUUAAAAUAUCGGAUUUCACCAUGGAUAUGAGUUCUUUUAAUGAUGUUUUUUGUUAUUUGCAAACUUAAUCAUGCUGCGCUGUGUUCUGUGCUUCAGGACGUUUGAACGACUUGUUAGUAUGUUGCUUAUGCAGAUCAUUAAAGUCAAAGAGUUCGUAAAGUUCAAAGGCUUAUACUAAUGACUAAAGAGAAAGUGAACCAAAAGAAUUUGGCUAUUUCCUUGAUCUUAUUUCAAAGCUAUUCAAGAAGUUUCGGUUAAUCCAGCUUCGCCAACAUAACUCACUACUGAUCAUAUGGUUUGUUAGAUAAAUUCACUAUCCAUAGUAACUUUAUGCUUUUGUUAUCCAAAUGAGAUAUUUCAUUCUAGUGUUCUCUGAAUCUUACUAGUUUCGCUUUGCAAUUAUCCAGUCAAGAGAGAAUCUAGAGGUAAAAAAGCAAUAAAGAAACUUGAUUACCAGAACCAAAACUAGAAAGUAUCAUGAUCUCCAGAGAGUUGGAGCCCUUCAAAAGUCUCGCAGCUAAAGAUUGAGGAUACAAUCACAAGUGACAAAUGUGUUGGCUAAGAAAGUAGAGGCAAAGAUUUGUUGGGAGAGAACUGAUGCUGUUGAACAACCAACUGCAUUUUAAAGCCGUAUUCAUACAUGUUUGGAUCGAGUUCAUAAAAUUUGUGGGAAUUUGAGAUGUUACAGGUAAAAGUAGUAUUAUUCGCUAUUUAAAUUUGAUUUGGGGGAGGCCCAAGUCAGGGAGAAUCUACAGUCUGAGUUUACUUCUUUUCUACAUCAUUUUCUGACUGUAGUGCUAAUUUGAGUAGCACUACAUGUUUUUAUUAUUUUCCGUGCACUGGAACCCCUGUAAUGGGAUUCUUUAAUUUUUUUCGAUUGCUUGUUGUUCUCCUUUUAUUUUUUAUUUUGUUAUGCAGGGACAGGAAAAGGAGCUCACGUGAUGAUUAUUACUCUCCUGCAAAGUCCAUCUCCCCUCCUCGAGAGGAGAGGGAGUAUCGAUCAAAUCGGCGAUCUCCAACUCCCCAGGAUGAUGGCCGUGGUCCAUCUCCUAGGAAGGAUAGCCGUGGCCCCUUUACUAAGGAGGAUAGCCGGAGCCCAUCACGCUCUCGUUCUCCAUCCUGCAGGUUUUUAACCUCUGAUAUUUCAUAAAAUUUCUUCGCUUAUUAUUUGUUGUGCCUGUACUUUUCCGGAACUUCUUAUUGGCGAUCUUAUUGUCUACAGCCGCUAGAUGACGAGCUCGAAUUUCUGACCAAGAUAGCAGCAGUGAAUGGCUUAAUACAAGAAGUCAUGAAACCUUCGUAAAGAGCGGAAAUUAGUUUUGGUCAACAGUCAGAAAAUGUGUACCUGUGCACUAUUUGAAGAGUGUGCAUCGUAGAAGGUCUUAAAGUUGCACUCUCGGCUAGUUCAACUUUUUAAUUAAAAAAAAAAAAAGAUCUUUACAUGUUAUUCAGGUUUGUAAAAAUGAUAUCUGCUUCAGCUCUAAAUUGUUGUUUAGAUCACGCGAGUUCAUUUCGCUUUUGUAUUGUGGUUUGGCUUUUGUUGCAGCAAACCAGUUUUGUUGUACUAAAGAAUGAUUGUGAACUCACAGCUGCUUCUGUUUUUUUGUGUUGUUUUGGAAACUAUUUCUAGGUCAAGUAUUCUCGUGUGUUCUCUAGGAAUGCGUUUGAGAAGUUACCUCAGUAAUGCAAGUCAAUAUUUUUAUUUUUAUUUUUAUUUUUUUUUAUUUUGAUACUUUUAAAAUGCAUAUAUUCUGAGUGAUUUUGACGAGCGUAAGCAAAUUCGGUGACUCUGAGCUUCUGGUUUGUUGUGAUUUAGUUUCGUGAACAAAAAAUAUUUGCUGACCCAAAAAUGCUUGUCUAAAUGCUAAAAUAUUUGCUUGACCCAAAAGUGCUUGUCUAAAUGCUAUUUCUAAUUAUCGUGUAUGCUCAUAAAUUAUUUCUAAAAUGCUAUUUCGAAAAUAAUUCGGUCCAUAACAUUUUAUUCAAAACAAGUUCUUCACAAAAUCCAUAGAUGGUUUUUUUUUUUUUUUUAUUUCCUGAUUUGGGAGCAAAGUGAUAUUGAGGCAAUUUUUAGGAACUGUGAAUGAAUAGAUGAAGAAACGAACUAGGAUGGUGAAAUUGGGGGUAAGUCUUUGUCUUGUCUCUUACAAUAAAUCUCUAUGUUUUUGAAUUUGAUGUCCGUUUUGUCUUUGGGUUAAUCACACCAUUAAUCUCCAACCUUUUGCCGAUUUUUUAAUUGAGCAUCAUUUUUUCUGUCUUUUACUUAUAAUUAUUAGAUGUCUUUUUUAUUGAUUCAUAUGAUCUUAUGAUGCUUCUCUACUUCCAUUUUGAUUCUUCAAGUUGCUGAAGGUAUUUGAUAUUUUGUUUCAGCAAAAAAGCCUUUGAAUAUCAGCAUGUGAAAUACCAAUUUGUUGCGUUUAAUAUCCAACUAUAGAUCAGUUGCUCUCAAGGUGUUUGAUGUUUUGCUUCAGCGAGAAAGCUUUUGUAUAUUGGAAUGAAUCAAACUGUUAACUUCGCCCCUCUUUGUAUCUAACUAUAGACGAAACUGUUAACUUCGCCCCUCAUUCGCCCAUAACGAUAAGGUUUUUCUCUUGGAAUAUUCCAAUGACGCUAUUAACAAGGUCAAUUUCUACUAGAGAUUGAAAUUUCUUUAUAUUAAAACAAGGUGCUUGUAGAAAAAGUAGACCGAAAAUACUUGUAUUGAUAAAAAAAACAGGGACAAUUACUUGUAUACCUCUGAAAAAUUUUCGACUUUCUAAUUUAUUCUUCUUAGAAGGUUAAUAUUGAAAAUAUCUUUUUAACGUUCCAACCUAUUUCUAAUAUAUCUCUAGAGUUAAAAUCUGUUAUGUUAAUGAACUCUGUUAUCUCUAUGAAAUUACUAUUUUGCCUUUUUAAAUAUACACUUUUACCAUCACCGAUUUUUUUUAUUAUUUUGUCCUUAAGUUAGAAGUACAAAAAGUAUUCUUUUCAAAUAUACUUUUCUACCAUCACCAGUAUUUCUUAUUUACCCUUAAGUUAAGAGCAAAAAUGGUAUUUUAAUUUUUUCUAACUGUGGUAGAUAUUUAACUCACGUUUAACCCAAGUUAACUUAACGGGUAGGUAACUGCAGGAAUAUUUUGGAAUAACAGAGAAAUAUAUGGGGUGUAUAUUGAAAGGAAAAAAAAAAAAAAGUAAAAAUAAAUGAGAUAUUUCUAAAGUUUUCAGGGAUAUAUAGAUAGUUAUCCCAUAAAAAACAUGGGGAAGUUACAAGCUUUAGGCUUAUUAGGUUCUUUGCUGAGACUUGACCUUCUCGACGACGACGCAUGCUUCGUUUGACCACCGCUUAAAUCGGACUGAACUGAAUCGAAUAGACUCCGUUCACCUCUCAAUCAUUGGAUUGACGGACGAACACGCAAAUUUCGAACCACAAAUUUUGAUCCAGAAGAGAGAAUAUCAGUUUCCGCAAAGUGAACUUUUAAUAUCGUCUCGAAAAGGUGGAAUGUUAGAAGAAGCACAAUUAGUCACCUCAUUUUAAAUCUGCGCUUGCGAUCGACUACAUGUACACAGUUUAACAUACAUGAGAGGCCAAGGGCAAAAGAAGAAAUAAUUGAUAUUUCAAAUGCUUGAACCGCUUUUUAACGCGGCUUUAUUCUUAUCGUCACUGCUUAACAACUGCAAAGUAUAUAUAGUACAUAUCCUAAAGCAUAAUAAUACAUAUUCUAACUCGUGCUUAUUUGAAAGAUCUUAUAAUGGCUCUUUUUUAGAAAUAUGUGUAUUCAAAGACAACCAAGAUAAUUGUGCUGGUCGUGCUGGGCCUAGGAAUACAAACAGGGCAGAUUUGGGGUUGGGAGGGAUCCUCCACCUCGUCUCAUUUUUUUAGGCAGUGCUUGGUUCGGGAACAAGAGGGAAUAAGCCCUUGUUCUCUCUUUUGUUCCCAAACAAAAAUUUGUGUACCCGAAAACGGUAGUUCUCGAGUCUCUGAAAUAAACUGGUAUAAUAAUAAGCUUGUUCACAAAUAGGAAUAAGAUUAAUUAAAGCCUAAAUUUAAUUUUAAUUAUCAUAUUAAAUUAUUAAUUAAUUUAAUUAAUAUAUUUAAAUCAUUAUCUAUUGCUUAAAUAAUAAAGUAAUUGAUUAUUAGUAUUUUAAUAUGUUUAUCUAUAAACUAAUAUUUAUAUUGAUCAACGAUUAAUAUUUUUAUUAAUCUAAUUAAUAUUUUUUACUAGUUAUCUUAUUAAAAUAAUUUACUAGCUAAUUAAAAAGUUAACUUAUUUUUUAUAAUUAAUUAAUUAAUUAAUGUAUUUUCAUUAUCUUAUAUAAUAUUCAUAGCUAAUAAAUUUAUUAAUUUAUUAAAUUAUUUUUAAUUAAUAUUUUGAUGUUAAUUAAUUAGAUAAAAUAAUUUUAAUUUAAAAUUAUAACUCGUAUUCCUCUUGUUCCAAUGAAUCCAAUCUAACCAUCUAAAUACUAUUUAUCUUAUAUUUAAGGAUAACUCAAUUUUCAUCCAAACGCAAAAUUGGUCUAAUUCUCGCUUAUACCUGAAUUUGUAUCUAUUCAUAAAAUAAACAGUUUUUACUUAUAUCCGAACCAACCGAUCGUCUCUAGAGCAAAUGGCAAAGGGCUUGGUGGUUGGUAUUCGAGGUGUUAAAUUCGAAUCUUAGUUGAUUCAUAUUUCCAGCUAAAUUUAUUUCUAAGUGAAAUAAAUGAAGCAAGUAGCGUGCUACCUAUCUCUCUCAAAAAAAAAAAAAACUUAUAUCCGAACCAAAUGCAACAUUAGUGAAUAGGGAUGAACACCGCGGGGAAUUAAUCGCUCGCAGUUCGGAUGGAUCAAAACAGGAACGGAUGUUUGGCAGAUUUUUGACACUGAUGAAGCAAGAAAAGGAAGGGAUCCAUCACCUUCUGAUGGAGUCAGAACGAAUUAUUAGUAAUUUUUUUUUUUUUUUAUCCUCACUUUCUACUGCACAAUAUAACUUAACUGUAUUUUCUUUCUCCUUUUUUCUUAAUAUCUUUUUUCAUUCUUUUUCUUCUCUUGAAAUAAAAUUUAAACUUUAUAAAAUUCGAGUAGUUUUUUUUGAAAAAAAAUAUAGAAAAAUUUGAUCGGCCCGUGCUCCGGCAAGGUAGGGCCUGAUCCGGACAAUGGUCCUGAAAAGGUUGGCCCAAGAUUACGCGGUUCUGGUCCCUGCUGGGCCACUGUGUCUUUGGGGCCCCAAAAUUUGUUAAUUAAAAGAUUGUGCCCAUGCAAUUAUAAGAAGUGGACAAUCUCAACUAAAGUUUUGUUUUGGUAUUCCAUUUUUUUUUUUUUUUUUUAAAAGAAGCUGAAUUUAUAUUUUAAAAUGCCAAAAAAAUUUAAAAAUAUUCAUUAUUUUUUUCUUCUCCAUUGACUUAACAGUUCAGCGGCAAUCGCCUUCGAUAAAGACAUGCAAAAUCUGAUACUUCAGAAAAUGCAAUUCCAAACAAGACCUAAGAUCGGCCCAUACGGGAUUCUGGUUAGUUUAUCAGAAAAGUGUAAAAAAAAAUUCAAAAAAAUUUUUGACACAGAAAAAUUAUUUUUUCACUUUUUUGUCCGUUUAGUUCUACGAAAAUAAAUUUUUCUGGAAAUUAUUUUUUUCGUAUUUUAUGAAAAAUUAGUAUUUUCGAUAGCCUAAAAGAAAAUUAGGAAAAUAAAAAAAAUACUAGUUUUCUAUGAAAUAUAGGAAAAGAAAUUUAAAUAUUUAUUGUCCUUCAAACCAUACUGAGCGAAAAUUGGAAAAGAAGUUUUUCAUGAAAUUUUUUUUCUUUGAAGAACUUUUUUCCACUUGGAACCGAAGAAUGGUAACAUGACCAAUUACCAGAAUAAACCAGUUGGAUUUCCUUUCUUGGGUUAGUUUCAUUUGUACCCUCACAAAGUUAUGAAAUAUCAUAAAUACCCUUCGAAUUUUUAAAAUUUCACAAAUGCCCCUCUAAAUACAACAUUUCUUUCAUAAAUACCCUUAUCGAUAUUUUUUGCUAACUUCACAAAUGCCCCUCUAAAUACAACAUUUCUUUUAUAAAUACCCUUAUCGUUAUUUUUUGCUAACUUCUGUCAACAUAGCAUUUUUUUUUUACCAUUUUACCCUUAAUUUGUUCACUAUUUGUUUAAAAUCAAACUUUUUUCACUUAUUUUUUGAUAUUUAUUCUAAAACUAUCAACUAUAGGUCAUUUGAGUAAAUCCUUGAAGUUUUUAUUAAUUUUUCUUUUUUGAACAGAAACUUAUUUAAUUUUAUAUAUUAGGAAGUUAUUAAAAUUAUUAAAUUUGUUUGAAUCAUUAAUGGAUUAGAUAAAAUCUCUAAUUUAAUAAUAAAAAAUCAUUCAAUUUAAGAAAAUAAAAUUUAAGAAGACUUAAUUAAAAAGUUAAAUUUAGGAGGUUAUUUCAUAAUGGGGCUGUAAUUGAGGGGGUCUCCAUAUAUUCAAAAAAAAUUGUGAGGGUGGUGAUUAAAUUAAAAUAGAGAGUAAACUUGGUAUUUUGAAGCUAGUAUAUAUAACAGAUUGCUACCAAUGAGGAUAUUUUUUAAACUUUUCCAUACUUUUGGAGGGCAAUUAUGAAAUUUUAAAAUUUUGAAGGGUAUUCAUGAAAUUAGAACUACUUGGAAGGGUAUUGAAGAAAAUUUUCCUUUAUUUCAUUGUCUUAUAAAGGGUAAAUUGCACGUUUGGUCCUCAAACUAUGAGGCAUGUGACAUUUUAGUUCUCAAAUUUUAAUUUAUUAUAAUUUUUUGUUUGAAUUUUCAGAAUUAUUGCAAUCAAAUCCUACAACCCAAUUUAGUUAAAUAAAUAUUGAUGCAUCGAUGAUGUAAAAGCGAUAUGACAUCUUAAUUAUUGGCGUAUUACUAAUUACAACAUUGUUAUAUUAUUUUUACAUUAGCAAUAUAUGAAUAUUUAGCCAGCAAAAUCGGAUUAUACGCGUUGUUUGCAAUAGUUCUAAAAAUUUGAGUCAAAACUUAUACAACGUUAUAGUUUGAGAACCAAAGUAUCAUCCAACUCAUAGUUUGAGGACCAAUCUUGAUAUUUACCCUCUUAUCAAUCACAAAUAUGUUUUUUUUUUAGUAGAAACAGGAGGAAAAAUCAUCCACAGCCAAUUUUAUUGCAAGCUAUUUACAUAUUACAAUAUAUAUUGCAAGCUAUUUACAUAUUACAAUAUAUGCAGUAAAAAGAGUAAAUAGAACACCAAAAAUAUAGAUAUCUCAACCUGUCAUACGUCACAAAAUGUAACAUAAAAUUACACAUCCCACAAUACAACUGAAACUAGAAAUAGAUUAAAAUCUCGUAAAAAGCUAAUAACAUCCUUAUUACUUUUUUUUCGGUUAGCAUUCAAGAAACCUAUCAUUUUGUAGUGGCUAAUAACCUGGAGUUGUCGAUGCACUCUUUUUCCAUUUAUAUCUCCAUCCGCACUCUAUACUUUUCUUAUCUGUACGUAGUAAGAUUAUCAGUCCAUAGAGAUUACAAAUUGUUUGAUUUUUUUCAAGUAAAGAGACCCUAGAGGAAAAAUUUUCAUUGAAUAUCACUUCAUAUAUAGUUAACACUUUUUAAUCUAUCAAAUACAACUAUAGAUGCAAAUUUAUGAGCAGUUGUAAAAUUUGCGCGCGCGCGUAACACAGCAAAUAAUUCUAACUUUAUUAAGUAAAACUAAGGUGCAUGCAUCUAAUUUCGUGCUAGAAAAUUGAGGGGCAUGCAUUGAUUAAACCUGGGGCGUCCGAUCCGAUGAAGCAUGAGAAUAAAUUAAUGCAGUGAAAUCCAUGCACGUGAGAUGUUAUCCCCCUGUUUCCUUAUUCCCUAGGCCACCUUUUUGACCUUUUAUUAAACACUAGUGAAGGCCCGCGCUUCCCGGCAGAAAAUUUAUAUAAUUUUUAAAAUAUUUUGAAGAAAACUUUUUAUUUUUUAAUUUUUAAAUCUAAUUUAAAAUUUUAAACAUAAAAAAAUUAAAUAUAAAAUUAUAUAUAAUAAAUACAUAUAUAUUUAUAAAUAAAAUUAGAUAUAUAUAUAUAUAUAUAAGUUAAAAUUAAAAUUUAAAAUGUAAAAUUUAUAUAUAAAAUUUAAAAUUUAAAAUUGUAAAAUUUUCUCUCUCUCUUUCUCUGUUAUUCUCUUUCGUCACCUGACUCCUCUUCUCUCUUCUCUCUUCUCUUCCGCCCCUGGUGCUUGCCCGCGCGCCCCGCCUGUUGCUGCGCCUGGCCCGCGCCGCCGCCCGCCCAUGCCGCCCUGCCCCGCUGCCCGCAGGGCGGCGCUCGCCCCGCCUGCGCCCUGCGCGGCUCCAGCCGCUUGGCUCGCACGCGCCUGCAGUCGCCCGCUGGGGGAGAAGAGAGAUGAGAGCGAGAGAAGAGAGAGACGAGAAGAGCCGGGCGGAUAGGAAAGGGAGAGAAGGGGGGGGGGGGGGAGAGGGGAGAGUGGGAAAGACAGUGGGGGAGAGGGACGGUAAAGAGGAGGAAAAAGGGGAAGCAACUGCGCGCGGGGUGGGGCGCGGGCCUGGGAAUCCGCCAGGGCGACCCGCACUCGACUGGGCGCGCGGUCACACGCACGUGGGGGGGGGCGAGCGCAGAGGGAGAGGGGAAGAGAAGAGUAAGAGCAGAAGCGCCGAGCGGCGGGGGGGGGGCAUGUGCGGGAGGCCCGCACCCCCGCGGUGCGAGAGGGAGCUCUCUCUCUCUCUCUCUCUCUCUCUCUCUUCUUCUACUCUUUCUCUCUCUCUCUCUCUCCCCCUCUCUCUGUCUGCUCUCUCUCUCUCCCUCUGUUCUCUCUCUCUCUCCCCCUCUCUCUGUAUGCUCUCUCUCUCCUCCCUCUGUUCUCUCUCUCCAUCUCUCUCUCACGCGGGAGGCCCCCGCAAAACGCGGGGAGCGCGCCGUAGGCCACAGGAGAACUCUCGAUUCAAUUUAUCUAUAGAUUCUCACUUUUUCAUGCACGUGCGCCACGGAGUCCCAGGGGAAUAUAUAUAAAACCUUCAAUCUUAAUAAGCAAAUGUUACAUGCAUGCGCCUCAAAUUUUUUGGCUUAACUUGCUUUUUGAUGCAAUAAGAAUUUGGGUUAAUUGCGUACAACUGUAUGUAAACAUAUCUUUUAUAAAAUUCAACUCUUCAUACUUAAUUCACGUAAAAGCCCUAACUUUUUCAAAUAUAUCCUCUGCUGUUAGCAUCCGUUAGAAAAAUAUAGCUAACCAUAGUUAAAAUACUUAACGAUGGUUAGUGAAUGAGAUAAAUUGAUAUUUUUAUCUCUCUUAUAUUAUUUGUGAUGGUAGAAAGAAAUAAAAUGAUCGUUAGAGAUUUUUAAGAUGAUAUUUUUACAUAAUUCUAACAGUUGGGAGUUUUGGAGGGACAUAAUUGUGAUGACAAAAAUAUCAUUUAACUCAUUUUCUGUUAAAAAAUAAAUAAUGUUCUAGCAGUAACAAAUCAGAAGAGCAAAUAUGAAUAUCACUGAAUUUUUAUAGGAAUAAAUAUUAAAGUUGAACUUUAUAGAAAUAUAUUUGCUAUUCGAUAUGUUUAUAACUAUAUGAAAUUAACCUUAAGAAUUUUUGUGGAACGUCCAAACCUUGCCUAGCACCUGGAUUUGAUGAUUGAUAUCCGAAAUUAUUCCAAUGUUUUAAUUCGAAACUUAGUUGUUCUCUUAAUUUUUUUUUUUUUUGUUUUAAAGAUCUGUGGUGGUGGUGUGGAUUAAUUUAAUUUGUUAGAACUGGAAUGUCUAAAUUGAAUUUGUUUUUUAAUUUGACUGGUAUGUAAAACCGUAACAAAAAAUAUUUCUAUUUAAGUUGUGAUUUAGUUAUUUAUGUAUUAUUUUCUUUUCUGGAAGGUUAUUAGCGAGAGAAUAUAGUGAGUCUAUUUUAGAGACUAGGAUUUUUUUUUGGGAAAUAAUUUUUAUACUUUAGUCUUUUUCUUUUGUGGACAUAAGCUAGUGACUAAACUACUGAAAUUAUUUAUUCAAUUUUUUUUUUCAUUUUUUGUAUUUCAUAUAUGAAUUAGACAUAUUUUGGCUCUUGUUAUAACAUAAAUAUUUUUGUAGCAAAGAAUAUAUGAUAGAAAUUUUUUAAGUUGAACUAGUAAAUUAUUUAUAGUAAAUAAGUAAUAUUUGCUAUCUUUUUUUAAGCUCAUGAUGACUACUAUCCAACAUAUCUCCACUAAACCAACGCAUCCAAGGCUAAAGAAUACCUAGUAAAUAUUAUUCCUUUUUGUUUAGAGUAAUGCUUCUAUACUUUUUUUAUUUUUUAUUUUAUUACUAUUCAUUCACUUCCAUUCAACGGUUCAGAUUUAAUUUUUUUAAAAUUAUGACCUGCAAUAGCCUUAAGAUGAUGUAACCCUUUUACCUGCUAAAUAUUAAAAUUACUUCUUUACUCUUUAUUAAUCAACGGUUAAGAUUUAUUUUAUUUUUUUAAUAAUAAAAUAUUGAAUUAUUUCUCUUUUGUUUAAAUAGUAAACGACGUACCAUAGUACAAGCAGAGGUGGAUAAUGUGACGUCCAAUAGUUCGGAUAGAAAAAAAAAAUUAUUAUAGGGAAUAUAAGACUAAAUAGUUCAGUACUAACUAUUACAUGGACUAUUGUAGGAAAUAUAUAUAAAGUUAAAUAGUCAAGUACUAAAUAUUUUAGACUAGGUAAUAGUUUUGAGUCCAAUAAAUUAUUUACGCAUAUGAAUGAGUACUUGGAUCCAUGCAUGCGAUAUUAAAAUAGUUAUCAGUUGAAAGUGUAAAAAUUAAUUAUUAUGUGAAAAUAAAGUGCUGUACUAUAUAUUAAUUAAAAUUAUAUUUUAAAAAUUUUACAUUACAUCUAAUAUUGGCUAAAUACUGUGAUAUAUAUUGAUAUCUGAGCUUAAAUAUUUUGAACUAAAAAAUUAGAUUUGAUAAAUUAGAACUUGGCUGUUAUUAAGCAGGAUAAUUGCUCAAAAAAUAUGUAAGGAGUACUUGAGAGGGAAAAAGGAGCCACCAAUCGAAUAUAUUUUCCGUGUCAAGUGAGCUAUAAUAAAAAAAGUGAUUGAUGGGGAGGUAAAUAGCUAGGUAACAAUGCACGGAGAUGCUUCCACAUGGAAACGGGCCGUAUACAAGGGCACAAAGCACCUUGCUGUAGCAUCUCUAGUGGAAGGGUAGUUUCUCUGUAGAUAGGAAAUAAGAUUACCACGUUAGGAUAACCGCGCGUUUGCGUAAGAGACCAAUGGCCACACCAAAUUCCAUUAUUCCAUGUGUCCAUACAUAUAUAUAUAUAUAUAUAUAUAUAUAUAGUAGGGCUACUGUGCUAUUAAAAGUACAGCAAUUCUUGUGGUCUUAAGUUCUUAACCGCCCAUCAAAUUUGAUGGAUGGUUAGGGUGAAAGGAAGAAAAGUAAUUGGAGAGAAGUUGAGUUUCUCAAUUUCUCUUCUUCUUUUCAUUCUAACUACCUAUCAAUUUGAUGGGUGAUUAAGAACUUAGGAGCAAAGCACACAGUAGCCCUACUCUCUCUCUCUCUCUCUCUCUCUCUCUCUCUCUAUAUAUAUAUAAUAAUAUAUAAGAGUUGAGCUAUGAUACUUUUACGAAGUAUCACCAUCAUGGUGCUAUUAGGUUUUAAGCCAUUAGAUCUACUUUUUGAUUAUAAUAGCCAUUGGAUUAAACACUAUUCCAUCUACCACCACCUAACCACCAUCAUUCUCAACCUUCACAUCUCUCCAUCCAAGGGCUAAAAACGCACAAGUAUCACCUCCAUGAUACUUUUACAAGUAUUCUAGCCCUACUAUUAGUAUAUAUAUAUAUAUAUAUAUAUAUAUAUAAUAUAUAUAUAGAAAGUACGUAUUUCAAAUUUGGGUCUGUCGACAGACCCAUGUUUUGGCGGAAAAAAAAUAUUGAUAUUCUCUUUCCUUACGUAAAAUAAAUAACGUAAUGAAACAAACUUUAUAUUUCUGUUUAUCUCUAAACUAGAAAAAAGAUAUACUUAUCCAAAUUUUUGCCAACCAAAAGAUACUUACUGUGAAUCUAUAUUUUAAUUAAAAUUUUAUUUAAUUUUUUAUUUUAAAAUAGAAAAAAAAUUUGAUGCUUAUCCAAAUUUUUGCCAGAAUACUAUUGUAAAUCUAUAUUUUCAAUUCAAAAUUUAAAUUUUGGGGCUAUCAAUAUAUAUUACAAUGAAAAUAAUUUAAAAGAUAGAUUGUUGAUAAAUUUGAAAUCAUAUUCUUUGAAUUAAUAUGAUGUAUAAAUUAUGAUCAAUUUGUAAAAAAUUUCUCAAUAAGAACGAGAUGAUUAUGACCAAUUUGUUAAAAAAAAAAUAUUUAUAACUUAUCUAUAACUUUAAUUUUACGAACGGUUAUUGAUCAAUUAGUUAAAAUAUUAGAAACUAAAAAUGAACUGUUAUAUCAAUCUUGUUAAAAAGUAUCACUUCUACCCAUUUAUUUUACAUUUUAAUGUUAUUAAUUAGAAUUAAAUUAAAUUUUUUAUUGAUAUCAAAUUAUCAUUAUUUUAUAAAUUGAUAUGUAAGAUAUUUUCUAAUAAAUUGUUAAAUAUAAAUUUAGGAAAACAUUAAAUAUUUUUUAAAUAUAUAUUUCAAUGUUUAUUGAUUUAAAUAAAUGAAAAAAUUAUUACGUGCAGUUGUACGUACACUUAACUAGUGUGAUAAUAUAUUAAUAAUAUAUAUAUAUAUACACACACACACACUAGCUGAUUGUACGUGCAAAUAUACGUAAAAGUUAUUUUAAUUUAUUUUAAAUAUAAAUUUUUACAUCAUAUUUAUUCAAAAAUUUAUAAUAAAAAUUAUGUUUUAUAAAUGAAUAUGUUAUAUAUUAUUAGAUAAUUUUUUCAAUAUAUACAUUGAAUAUUUUUUAUAUAUUUUUGAAUUCUGAUAAAUUGAAAAUUUAAGUUUAUUAUUUAAACUAAAAGCGUCAAAAUUUAAUUCACAUUUACUUUGAAAUUUAAUUUUAGUUCACUGUAAUUAAAUAUUUUAAUUUUUAAUUUAAAUUUGACAUCCAAAAUUUAUAAAUUUAAAUUUUUUAAAAUUUAAUUCUGAUCCAUUGUAAUUAAAAUUGUUUAAUUGUUAAUGCAAAUUUGAUAUCAAAAAUUAAAUUCAAUUCAUGAUUUAAAAUCAAAAUUUUAAUUUUAAUGUAAAAUCUAUCGAUAGGAAUACUUUUCUUUAACAGAUUGAUCACAACCGAUAAUUUUUAUUUGAAAUAUAUUUUAACAAAUUAAUCAUAACUAUUCAUAGGAUUUGAUAUAUUGAUAGAUAAGAAUGUUAUUUUUUAACAAAUUGAUCAUAACUAUUUAUUUUUAUUUGAGAUAUUUUUUAACAAACUGAUUAUAACCGUUCGUAGGGAAUAUUCGUUUAUUCCUUUUUAGAUUCCGUCUGUCAUUGUCGUAAUUCCUAUACAUAGAGGGUCGGCUACUAAAGUAUUAGAGGGUCGGCUACUAAACGCUUUUAUAUAUAGUAUAUAUAUAUAUAGAGGGUCGGCUACUAAACUAUUAAUAGCACUAAUCAAGUUUUUCGUCGUUAGAUCUACCUCGUUGAUCAUUUUCAUCUGUUAAAUUUAUACUAGCCUACUAUUAGUAGUAAAUGACUCAGUUUACUAUCAAUUUACUUUUGAUGAUAGAGCUUUCAAGUCUUCGAUCAAUACUGUUGAAUAUGAUCUGUACCUUUUAAACUAUCUGAAAUUAAAUUUUAUAUUUUUUUGAUAUUGUUCUCUUAUCCAUCAAGUAGGCAAAAUAUGAAUGACUGAAUAUAAAUAUUCUUCAAAGAGUAACUAUAUAAUUUUUUGUAUUUAAGAUCUAAAGUCUAGAUCUUGUUUUAAAUAUUGUAAAGUGCUUUUAAACAAAAAUUCAAAUGAUCUCUUAUACCAUUAAACAAGUAGAUGCAUCGUAUUCGUCGUCAAAAUUAUAAAUUUUUAUGACCCUUUGAUCGUUCAGUUAGAGAUAUUGAAAAAUUAUAGAAUUUGGUUUAAAUGGUUUAGAUAAUGUUCGACGGUACCGAUCAUCAAUUUGGAAGCUUUAUCAUCAAAAAUAAAUUAUUAGUAAAUUGAGCAGUUUAUCACAGAUAGUAGCCUAGCAACUCUCUCUCUCUCUCUCUCUCUCUCUCUCUCUCUCUCUCUAUAUAUAUAUAUAUAUAUAUAUAUAUAGUCAGGCUAUGGUGCUUGUAAAAGCACAAAGCACUUGGUAUUUGUAAGUUUUUUACUGUUAGAUCUACGUUUUUGAUCAUUUUCAACCGUUAGAUUAUACUAUUCAACCAACUAUCCACUCAACCCUAAGGGGGUACCAAUCAUGCUCUAACGCAUAUUCCUUAAUCCAAUGUUAAAAAUCUAUAAGCAUCAAUAACUGGUACGUACAUUUAAAAGCAUAGAAACUUAAUUUUAUUAUAUAAUAUACUAUAUAUAUAUAUAUAAUAUAUAUAUAUAUAUAUAUAUAUAUAAUAUAUAUAUUAUAACUAGCAAAAAAUGUUAUAUUUAAUGAACGUAAUUUUUAUAAUUUACGAUAUUAAGUGUUUAACAAGCGUCUCAAUUAUAUUCCAACGUCACUUUUGAAAGUGUCGAUCAAAGCGUUAGCAAAUAAAGAGUCGGCCACGGCAUAUACGACGCUUAUAGCAAGCGUCGAUAAAAAUAUAUUUUGAUACUUUAAAAGUGUCAGGAUUUUUGAAAUUCUGACGCUUUAAAGCGUCGAAAAAUUAAAAAUAAUAGGUAAAAUUUAUCAUCAUUUAAUAAAUUAUUGAUAUUAUAUGACGACGCUUUUUGAAGUGUCGGUAUUUUCUAUAUUGUAAAAUGUAGUGAUAUAUAUAUAUAUAAUAUAUAUAUAUAAUAUAUAUAUAUAAUAUAUAUAUAUAUAUAUUAUAUAUAUAUAUAUAUAUUAUAUAUAUAUAUAGGCCAAUUUGCAUAAAAAAUACACUUAUUUGGCUUUGUAAAACCGGGCCACCUUUUUCGUUUUGUGCAAAUCGGUCCGCUUUUUCAGCAAAGUGACCAAAAAAACCCUUAUUACUUUUCUCUUUCCUCUUUCUCUCUCCUCUUCGUUCUCUUGCGUUCUUUUUUUUUUUGCCGAAAAAAAAAAUAGCGACAGGCGCAGCACCGCCAGGCGGCUCUUCUCUUCUUCUUCUUCCUGCAGGAGCAAUUUGUUUUUCUCUUUUUUUUUAUUCUUCUCUUCCUUCCUGCCUGCUGGAGUAUUUUUUUUUUUUUUUUUUCCCAACUUUUUUCUUUUCUCUUACUCUUCUUUUUCUCCUGUAAGAGCACAGGGCCGCGCACGGCGACUUCCGGCCUCGCCACGGAGCCGACCGCUCGACUCCCGACGCCACCCGCUCAAGCCGGGGAAGCUCUACUUCCUCGUCGACCCACCCGCCGCCGACACCCGAGCCCGACCACAGCCAACGAGGGCGCAACCGGCGUCGGCGCCGGCCGCCGCUCGUUCCUACUAGUUGCCGAGGAAGCCGCGCGUCGACUACGAGCCCGACCGCUCGACCCGACACCCUGCUCAAGCCGGGAGAGCUCUAUUUCCUCCCCCGCGCGACCCCUGAGCCCACCACCCGCCGCAGAUUUCACCAUUAAAACCAUUAAUGUGUAAUGGUGCCAUUACACCAUUAGGAAGAACCGCCAGCCGGGACACGCGAUGCCGUCGCGAGACCGCCGGUUUGACGUGCGCCUCCUCGCGGCGACGGCGACGAGAGGGAGGCGUUGGCGUGCACCGGCCGACUCGAGCUCGCCGACCCCCGACCUCCCCGCGCCUCCGCUCGACCCCGACGCCCGCAGGCCGCCGUGUGCAGCGGCCGCCGUCGUGCCGCGGCGCCCCCAGCUCCGCGCAAGCUCGGCUCGGGGCGCCGUCGCGCGGCAGCGAGCUUCGCCGCCGCUCGCUGUGCCCAGCGGCAUGCGACGAGCCGUGGCGGCUGCGGCGUGGGCGGCAGUUGGCAGCGGCGAAUCGAUGAACACAAAAUCGAUCACAUGGUUGUUGGAAGCUGUAAGGAUGUUUUCUCGAAGCACUAUUAGUGAAGGAACUUAAUUGAUCAGAGUAAUCAAUUCCCGUAUGUUAACUUUUUUUUUUUGAUCCCUCAACUAGCCAGCAAUUUUGGUUAGUGCAUAUUAAACAGGAGAAGUUAAUUAUGCAUCUUGCAUUUCAUCAAACUAUAGCGAUGCAAUGUUAACAAUUAUAUUAAUGAGCAAAUGCUGAUAGCAUUUUUUACAGUUCUUUUUCAAUUUUAUCUUUAUAGUAUACGCUGACCGCGCCGACGCCUGCGCCCACGCGCCCGCCGCGAGCCCAGCCGCGCCACUCGUUCGGCGCGCGCGGUAGCAGCGGCGGCAGAAGUCUGCGCGCUACGGCGCCCCCGAGCCACCGAGCUCUGGCCGGCGGAGCUCGGGCCGCCGCGGCACGCACGAGGCGUGCAGCGCACGCGGCCUGCGGGCAUCGGGUCGAGCGAGGCGGGGGAGGUCGGGGUCGCCGAGCUGCAGAGUGCGGCCGGUGCACGCAACGCCUCCCUCUCCCGUCGCCGUCGCCCAUCGCUAGGGGCAGAGAGGCGGCACUGUCGACUCUGGCGGUCUCGCGCGCAGGCGUCGGCUGUCCGGCUGCUGCGGUUUCUUCGUAAUGGUGAAUGGUGCCCAUUUACACCAUUAAUGGUGAAAUUACACGAUUCAAUGUUUAAUACAAACCCAUACGACACACCAUUAAUGUGUAAUGGUGAAAUCGCGCGGCGGUGGUCGCGGCUCGGGUCGCGCGCGGCAUGGGCGGCGAAUAGAGGUGUCCCGGCCUUGAGGGCAGGGCGUCGCGGUCGAGCGUCGGCUCGUAGUCCGCGACGCGGCGGCUCCUCGGCACUAGAGGAACCGCGAGGCGCCGGCUGCCGGUUGCGCCUCGGCGGGUGGUCGGCUCGAGUUCGCGCGGGGGAGGUCGACGAGAGAAUAGAGCUUCCCCGGCUUGAGGGGCUCGGGUUCGAGGCGUGCGGGCUCCGGCGCGAGGCCGCAUAGUCGCCGUCGGCCCCGUGCUCUUACAGGAAGAAAACAGAAGAAGAAGAAGAGAGGAGGAAAAAAAAAAAAGCUCCACAAGGAGUGAAUAAAACGAAGAAAAAAAAAAGAGAAAAAAAAUUUGCUCCUGUAGGAAGAAGAAGAAAAGAAGAGGCCCGCCUGCGUCCCGGCAGUCGGCUUUUUUUUUUCCGGCGAAAAAAAAAAAGAACGAACGAGAACGAAGACAGAAGAGAGAAAAAGAAAAAGAAACACGUAAUAAGGAUUUUGCAUCAAGUGCUGUGAAAAGCGGACGCCCGAAUUUGGCAAAACGAAUAAAGGUGGCCCGGUUUGCAAAGCCUCAAAAAUGUAAUUUUUAUUACAAAAUGGCCAUAUAUAUAUAUAAGUAUAUAUAUAUAUAUAUAUAUAUAACUAGGCUGGAAUACUAUUAAUAGCACCAAUGACUAGGUGCUAUUAAGUUUUCUGCCCUUGGAUUAAAAGAUAUGCGAUUGGGAUGAUAUGGGCCCUCUAGGGUUGAGUGGGUGGUCGGUUAAAUAGUAUAAUCGAACGGAUGAAAAUGAUAAAAGAGGUAAAUCUAACGGCAGAAAACUUGAUAGCACUAAAUGUUUCGUGCUAUCGAUAGUAUCCCAGCCGGACUCUAUAUAUACUAUCGAUAGUCUCUAGCGCAAGUGGCAAAAUACUUGGUGGUUAGUAUUCGAAAUUUCAAAUUCGAAUCUUAGUUGAUUCACAUUUUAAGUUAAAUUUAUUUCUAAAAGAAAUAACCAAAAGGGAUAACAUACUAUCUUUCUCUCUCUAAAAAAAAAACGAAAAGUAGUUUUUCUGCAAUGUGAUAUGUACAUGCAAGUACAAAAUUUGUGCACAGUGAAAUUCAAUAAUUUUAAAAUUUUGAGAACUAAAAUAUCAUACCCUUUGUAAUUUGAAGACCAAAACUGCAAAUUGGCCUAAAAAAACUUCUAUUUUGUUUUUUGUUUUUUUGUUUUUUUUUUAUAUAUAUAGCAUAGAUAUUAGUUGCGGAAUAUGUGGAUAAGUUGACGUGGAGGUGAGCGCAUCUAUUGCCAUGCACAUCAAAUGUCAAUGCACACUCUUGGGUAGGGACAUGGGCAUGUGCGCGCACAUACAUGCAUGGGGAGAAACAAAGGAGAAAACGACGAUCGAAGAGCAAGCCAGCAUAGUGUUUGAUCGAGUACAGUAUGCUUGUGCUGCAACACGACGCCCAAGUAUGAACUGGACGCACCUCCCCCCACCCUCUCCACACUUUCCAACGCCCAAUAAUAUAUCUUCUUCUAAGAUAAGAAGCAACUAGAUCAUGUGUUAAUUAAUUAUUGGCCCCAUGUUCAGUUAUAUAUCCUUCUUGUGCCAUGGAAUGAGAAGGAUGUCUCUUGCGCUUCAUGCUCUUAAUUUUUAGAUACGUACGUGAAUACUUUAUUAUGUAUAUCUUUUUAACUAUUCAAAAAAAGUAUAGUGUUCGGUAGAUGGUGAUCAAACAUCUAGCCAGAGGGGAUACCACAAUCGACGUUCUAGUCAAAUUUCAGAAAUAAGAUGGAUCAUCUCGUACACGUAGGUGAAAUCAAUUAAACUUCUAACUUCAAGGAAUAAAUCAAACUAGUCCAAUUUGCAUAAAAAAUUCACUAGUUUUAUGCUUUUGUAAAAGUGGACCAUCUUUUUCGACUUUGUAGAUUCGGAUCGAAUUUUCAGCCACCUGACUAAAAUGCUCAUUGUCUACAUCCGCCUCUCGCGUAUUCCCUGAGAUAUGUAUACUCUAACAUACGAUUCUAACUUGCAUUAAAUGCGCCCCUUACGUUUUACGCAACCUCGCUCUCAUCGGAAUCCAAACCAAAUCGGCCCCGUUAUUUGCUAGCCCCGGUAUUUACUGUUCGGCUUUAAGAAAUUAAAUUUGUUGAAGCUACAUGACAAAAACUACGCGGCCAGCAAUAGGAAUAUAUAGUAGUGCAACGCAAAGAAAAAUGGUGCAACAACCCUUCUAACAGUGCAACCUCCGCAUUUAACAGUGCGAUGCUGGCAUUCAAUCUUCUCUCUCACCAGGGCGACAUCCCACUCUCUCGGAAGGCAGUCAGGCAGUCUUCUUCCCAAACCAUAAGAAGCGUAGGGGAGUUUAUUCCAGCACUCGUUUGGAGAGGAGAAGUGAAAGAAGCGUGGCCGAGGGACAUGGCUUUAGAGUCUGCAAGUGGAGGAGAGAGGAGGGAGAAGGGAAGAGGGGGUGCCAUGGUGUAAUAUUCACCUAAUUAGUACAAUAUUUUUAACCAUGUCUAGAAAAGAGCAUAUUAUUUUCUGUAUGUUGUGCUACCGCGAAGGUAGUAGUGCAGAAAAAAGCUCUAAGUUGUGUAACAUAUUCUUAAAUAGUACAAUAGUUUAAAAAAAUGGUGCAACGAGUCUAUAACCAGAGAAAAAAAAUUCUUAACUUAGGUGUAAUAUUAACAUUAAUGAUGUAAUAUUUGCCUAACAUUAAUGCUGUAACGAGUUCAUAACCAACAUAAAUUUUUCUCCCUAAAUGGUGAUUUCAUGAAGUUAAUAGUAAAAACAAGUCUGUAAAUGGCGUAUCGAUCACCAAAACAAUGCAACAUUCUUCGCUAAAUAGUGUAACAAUUUCCUAAGCAAUCCAAACUUUUCUCUGUAUUAGGUGCUAACAUGAAAAUAAUAGUGCAAAUAAUUUCGAAAAUGGUUCUACUAUAAUGAAAAUAAUGCUACAUUCUUGUAGUGGCUCUGGGGUUACACUACAACAGAAUUAGGUUAUAGGGACAUAUGUUUGGGACACUUUUGAGUAAGUGUCCCAUUUAUCGUAAAACUUAAAAAAACAUCUACUAAUGCCUAAAUAUAAAGCCCAAUCCAACCAAAAAUAAAAGAUUACUCUACUCAAGCCACCACACCCAGUCCAUUUGGCCCGAUUAUAAACAGAAAAGAAAAAAAAAAGAAAAAUUAAUUACCAUCUUUUUUUCUCUCUUCACUCAAUCCACUGAAAUUCUAGACGAAGAGCCUUUCCUGUCGUCCUCCUCCGCCACCGCAGCCAAUGAGAUAGAGUUUUGGCGGUUGCUAAAUGCUUAAAUAAGUGUUGGUAAAUUAGCAGCACUCUUUUAGGUUAUAGCGACACUCUUUAACUGUCACUAUAUACCUAGCGACCCCACAUAUAACAACACUUUUUAAAAGUGUCGGUAAUUUUAGCUAGCAGUACUUUUUUGAAAUGUACCUACAUUUAAAAGUAUCGCUAUAGACCGUUUUUGUUGUAGUGUUAGUGGUCGGACUGACGGCAACAUCAGUGGCUUGUCGACACUUCUGUAGAGUGUCAGGACAAGCCGGAGUCGUUUUGGUGCGAAAUAGACGCGAAAAUGGACUCGGAGCUGUGAGAGUUGGAGUUCGGACAUUAAAAUCCGCAAAAAUAGGAUUUUGAGUAUUGUGUACCAGUACCUGAGAGGUGUACCGGUACCCUAGAGGGUUACACGAAGGUGUUUUCUCGGGUUUGUGUAUCUUUGUGUUGAGUACCGGUACUUGUUGGUGAGUAUAUAUACCAGUACCGGGAUUGAAUACUGGUACUGCAUUGGGCUAGUACUGGUACCCAGCGUGCGUGUUUGCUGGCUGAGUGCCGAGUACUGGUACCCAAGUUGAAUACCUAUACUGCAGGUAGCAAAUUGAGUUGGUAAGGGGUCUUUUGGUUAUUUUUGUCGGCGAUAAAUCCCAACCGAUCCCUGUUACUUUCUCACUUGUGUUAAAAUCUUAGAGAAACAGGUAGCUUCUCCGCCUUCUCUCUCUCUAGCUCUCUUGUCUUUUCUUUGUGAAUUUGUGGAAUGAACUCAGUUUCGUUCACCUUGUCUUUGGAGGAUUGCUCGUGCACCUCGGGGGAUUUCUGUUGGAGGUCGAGCUAGUGCGGGGUUUCGCCUAUCGACACUUAGCCGGUGUUGGACGAGCAUUUGAGGUGGGUUAAUAUUUAUCGAAAUCGUCAGAAUUCCUUCUAAGUCGUAGCAAUGUCAGCAUGUAUUUUCUUGGUCGAUCAUCAUGUUUAGUAGCUCAAAUUCAUGAAUUUACCGGCAUAUAUGAAAUUUGAAUUUGGAGCAUAAUCUAAGAAUUUUAGAUAAAUUAUAUGUGCUGAACUGGGACUUGAUUUAGGAGAAAACGAAUUAAACCUACACUGUCACUUUCAAAAUAUUAAUAGAUUUAGCUUCAGGAGCUGAUCUCUUUGUUGUAUCACUACUGUUAGUGCGUCGUGGAUACUUAGAUUAGUGUAGGGUGAGAUUACGCUCGUGCUGAGGAGCCGAGCUUGUUUUACAGUAGAGUUUGAACUGUUUUGUACUAUCGGGUGCCGUCGGGGCGGAUGGUGGACUCAGAUGUUUACAUCUUGUAUCAAAUUAUGCCGAGAGCACGUGAGCCUUGGUUGUUAGACCAGUUUGACCAAUUUGCAUUGACUAUAGCUUGUGUGAGCUUGAUUGAGCUCGAUAGAGACACGUUUUCAUACUCGGUUUGGUUGCUCCCACAAGUGCCGCUCCGGAGUAAGGCUUUUCUUGCGUUGAUGUCGCAGCAGUCUUGUUUGGAAGUGUUCUUGAACCGGCCACCCCCGUGGGUGGUGUGUGGUGUAGCUUGGAUACAGACUGGACUCGCCAGUUGGCGGUCCGUUGAGAUUGGGUCAGUGUGUAGCUAGUGAUGCAUUUCUAUGGCUACAGAGAGCAGGGUUUGGAUAGCGGUAGUUUAGUGGCAUGUAGCUUUAGAGUUUCUUCCAGCUUACUUUACUAUUCUUUGCAUACUUUUACUGUAGACUUAGUGUGUAGUCCGUUGGGGUCGGUGACGGUACCCACUGAGGACUACUCUGUUUUGCAGUAGUUCUCACAUCUAGUUGUUGCUACCUUUUUGCAAAGCCGUCUGCUGCUGCUGCUGCUGUUGAUUUUGACCGUGGUAAGGGAAUCAUGAGCUAGAUCCCUACCUUCCCUGAUCAUUGUGCUAGAGGAGUAUCCCUUCAGAGGUAGUUUUGGGUUGUUACCUUAUACAUACUGUUAUGUUUGAUUGUACUCUCAGAAGCGAGGUUAAUUGUGUUUUGAAUAUUGUAUGUACAGUGGGUUUAGUAUGUUUUUAUAUAUAUGUGUCAGUUUUAGAAGUUCUAUACUUCUGGUUAUAGCUAUGAUUUGUUACAGGUACAGCUAUCACUUUGUAUACACAAAAAAUUUCUAUGUAUAUGGUGGGUCUGUUAGCGUGCCCGGGAAAACGUACGUGGUAAUCCGGAGCGUGACAAUUCUUUCCUAAAUAGUAUAACAAGUCCGUAAGCAGUGCAAAAUUUUCUCAAUAUUUGGUGCUUAUAUGAAGGUAUUACUGCAAACAAGCUGUCUGUAAAUUGUGUAACAACGAUGAAAACAGUGCAACAUUUGGUGCUGAGAUCGUCGAAAUCUAAAAAGGAUAGGCUUGCCAAAAAUUACGGAGUCCACCUAGAGUUCCCCAUGAGUGGCGUAAAAAGUGCACGCCGGGAAAGGGCAAGCGAACUAGGAGCCUGUACUUCCUCCAACCGCUCUAGGGACGAAAGAGGAACGGUGCCGACCUAAUCGCCGACGUAUGUAGCGCGCUUAUUAUUUUACAUUCUCAGUAAUAAUGUGAUUCUUAUGUUACUUUCUCAAUAUUUGUGUGAUUGUACCACACUAAGUUUAAUAAAAGUACAGUAGCCCAAAGAUUUUAGCACAUAUGAGAAUAAUCACUUUAUUUGCAGACUAAAGAAAAUGAUAUACGGACUCAAACAAGCCUCUUGUCAGUGGUAUAUCAAGUUACAUAAUGUAAUUACUAUAUUCAGUUUCAUAGAAAACAUUGUGGUUAUGAAAAUAUUGUGGACCAGUGCAUAUACUUUAAGAUUAAUGGGAGUAAGUAUAUUUUCUUAGUUUUGUAUGUUGAUAACAUUCUGCUUGUAAGUAGUGACUUAAGUUUGUUUAAAGAGAUCAAAGAAUUUCUUUUUAAGAACUUUGAUGUAACGACCUAGCCUACUAGUAAUAAUAACUUGUUAUGCCCAACCAUUGGCCUAAAAUGCUUAAGUCCAAUUAUUAUUAUUAGUGUCUAAGUCUCUUAUAUACCCAAUCACAUCCCCAUUCCUAUCCGAUGUGGGAUUAUUCGGGUGUGACAGACUCCCCCGUUAAGGCCCAGACGUUCUCGUCAGUCCAAUCACACACACAGCCCAAGAUCACCAGGCGAUGUGAGACUCGUCUCGCUAGCCUUGUCAUCCAGACCCUAGCAUAGUCGGUCAUCAUGUCAUACAAAUUUCGAUAUAGCCUAUCACCUUGUCUUUCUGAUUUUGGCUCAGACGAGACACGCCACACAUUUCCGACUGGUGAUUGGCUCUGAUACCAAAUGUAACAACCCGACCCGUUAGCAAUAAUAACUCGUUGGGCCCAACCACUGGCCCAAAAUGCUUAAGCACAGUUAUUAUUACGAGUGUCUAAGUCUCUUAUAUAUCUAAUCACAUCACUAUUCCUAUCCGAUGUGUGAUUAUUGGGGUGUGACAUUUAAGAUGAAAGAUAUGGAUGAAACUUCUUAUAUCAUCGGUAUAAAGAUUCAUAUAAAUAGAUCUCAAAAAAUUUUGGGUACAUCUCAGAAAGCCUAUAUUGAAAGAGUUUUAUAAAGGUUUAAUAUGACAAACUGUACACCUACAGCUACACCUAUUAUAAAAGGUGACAAGUUUAAUCAGCAAUAGUGCCCGUAGAAUGAUUUAGAAUGGAAGAGUAUACCCUAUAUCUCUGCAGUAGGGAGCUUAAUAUAUGCGCAGGUCUGUACCAGACCUAAUAUAUAGCUUAUGUAGUGGGAAUGCUAGGUAGAUAUUAAAGCAACCCUGAUCUUAAUUAUUAGAAAGCUGCAAAGAAAGUCGUGGAUACUUACAAGAAAUAAAUGACAAUAUGCUCACCUACAGGUAUUCUGACAAUCUUGAGAUUGUUGGAUAUCCGCACUCUAAUUUUGUUGAAUGUGUGGAUUCCAGAAAGUCUACAUCAUAAUAUAUUUUCUUCCUUACUCAAAAUGCUAUAUAUUAAAGGAACGUCAAGCAGGAUAUAGUUGCUCCAUCUGCUAUGGAGGUAGAGUUCAUCGUUUACUAUGAGGCUUUGUCACAAUCUUUAUGACUAAGAAAUCUUAUCUAAGAUUUAAGAGUUAUCGAUUCCAUCACAAGGCCAAUUAAGAUUCAUUNUUUUUUUUUUUUUUUUUUUUUUUUUGUAUAAAGACUUUAAUGACUAUUCUUAUUUGAGUAAGAACACAUUUUAGUUUUUGCACAUAUGCGCAUAAAAUUAUUUUUUGAGCAUUAAAGUAUUAUUAUGCACUAAAAUGGGACUCUGAGUUGAACUUAUAAUAAAUUUAUACAGUUGUAACUUAUAAAGAUAUUUGAUUAAGAAAUACGUGUUUUUAAUAUAUGAAAGAAAGUGUUCAUCUUUUGGGACAAAACUUUAUUACGUACCAACUAAAUUAUACAAUUAAAAAUCUCUCAAUAGACUAAGAAAUACGUGUUUUUAAUAUAUGAAAGAAAGUGUUCAUCUUUUGGGACAUAAUCGCUAUAAUUAAAAUAUUGUGAUUCCUUAGUCUAUUGAGAGAUUUUUAAUUGUAUAAUUUAGUUGGUACGUAAUAAAGUUUUGUAUCAUUUAUAUGAUAAUGAAUAUAUCACUAGGAUAAGUGAGAGAAUAUUGGAUGUGGCCUACGUGAUUUAUUCAAGGUGAUCUAUAAAUACUGCGUUUUGUUCGGAUAUAAGUAAGAACUGCUUAUUCUCAGAAUAGAUACAAGUUCAGGUAUAAGUAGGAACAAGACCAAUUUUACGUUUGGAUAAAAUUGGUUGUUCCUAGAAAUAAAGUAAUAGUGUUUUGAUGAUUAAAUUGGAACAAAAGAAAUAAGAGUUAUAAUUUUAAACUAAAAUUAUUUUAUCUAAUUAAUUAACAUCAAAUAUUACUUAAAAAUAAUUUAAUAAAUUUAUUUUUAGUAAAUUUAAUUAAUAAAUUUAAAAUAAUUUACAUGAAAAUUAGGUUGUUCCUUCAGUGUUCAGAAACAAAGAGGGGAAUAAGGGCUUGUUCCCCUCUUGUUCCCGAACCAAGCACUGCCUAAAGAUACAAUUGAUCUAUUCAAAAUGAUUUAUAAAGAUAUGGUAGAUAUAACGGUUGGCAUGUAUCUGAACACGUAUUUGAUGGAUGUACGUGAUUUAACAUUUUUACAUUAAGUUAUAUAUAAAUAUAUAACAUACGGGAGUUCCGGUUUAACCCAAAUCAUAAUUUUUGUGACGGCUCCAUCUCCAGGGAUAAGAGAACAGACACGAAACGUCCCGCUCUUUUAAUUUUGCAGAUCGUGAACGAGGACGAAUCAUAAGAAAGAAUCGCCGUCUACAAUCCUGAUGUAGAAAUCGAAAUUAUGACAGAAGAUACAAUCUUAAUUUCUUAUAAAGUUUAACCAGUCGUCUUCAAUUCAUUUCAAAUCAUAAAAAAUGCAUAACAUAUAUAGACUUGUUUUGACGGCACAUAAAAAGUGUUUAACACACACUGGUUUUGAUGGUACUUUUAGUUAUUUAUUUUUGCUUGGGAAAACAGAAGGUAAAAAUUAAUGACAGUGUAGAUCAAUGUGCUUAACAUUUACUCCUGCUUUCAGAUCUGCCCGGAUAGUAGGUUUCUAUGCAAUGCAUCUAUUCUGCUCAAAGUAGGGCUUAAUUGAGACUGGAGUCACCUAACCCUAAUAAGAGAAUACUAGCUAGCCAAAUGUUCCAGUAGCCAUUUUGAUAUUAUACGAUCUGUAGGCAAAAAUUUCUGAAAUAAGCACUUUUUCUAUUUAUAAAAUACUUUAACAUGUUAUUUACAUCAUUUUACUCAUUUGAUGAUAUGAACUAUUUUAAUUGAGUGACAGAGAGCAAAAACUUAAUUUAUGAGUAUAAUUUAAAUAAUAAUUAUAGUGGUAAGAAAGAAAUACUAAGAGCGUGUCACACGUCAGCAUAUGUAUGUAUAAAAUAUAUAAUAUAAAAUGCAUAUGGGCAAAGCAUUUUCCGAUUGUUAUUGUUAGAUGGUGUGAAACCUGCACAAAAUAUCUGCACACGUUGCCUUCGAAGACAAGUGAUUCCUGUUAAUACUACUUAAUUUCUAUAUUAUUUUAUGGUGACUGAAAAAGCAAAAUCAUAUAUCAAUCUUUUUAUGCUUUUAAAAAGCAUACUACCUCUCUCUUUCUCUCUCUUUCACUCAUCACGCUUUCAAUUUAAAUAUAUUAAUACCUAGAUUUUUUCUGGUAUAUUAUAAGUUUAGUUCCUAAUCGCGAAUUAAAAAUUGCUUUCAAUUUAUACGAUUUAAUUUCUAAAUUUGUAUAUAUAUUAUACUUUAGUUCCUAACUAUUAAUAAAAAGUAAAACUUAUUUAACUAUAUUUUCAGUGAACAUAAGCGAAUCAUUUUUACUGAAUAAGGAUGAACUUUUCUUUUGUAACUUAUGAGAUGAAAAAGUCUCCGGUUCAAAUCUCACUAAGUCCUAGUCUCAUAAAUGAGUUAUGCAAGUGAGUUAAGCUAGAAUAUUUUUAGAAGCAUGAAGGCUUUAGUACUGUUAGUUUUUAGACUCAGAAAACUCUCUUUUGAUCCACAAAUCAUAUGAAACAAGACUCUAUUUUAGCUAUUAUUAUUGACUUCUAAAUUAAUGGUCAAAAAGCUUAAUUCAGGCGCUCAAAUUUAUAAGCACUAAGAACUCGAUAUUUCUAAAACAUUCCAUCUCAAUACUUCUUAAUAUUGGAACGUAGCUUGCAUUAGCUGCAAAGUGAGUGACUGCUUUGACGGGACUGGGUGGAAGUGGGAUGUUAUCUUGGCGGAUUUCACUCCAGAGACCGCACUUGAUAGACAGUCGGUAUAAAAAUUGAAAGACAGACUAUCUAACCUCAAACUGAACAACAAAAAGGAUGUGGUUAAAUGGAGAUGGAUCCAGUCGGAAAUGUUUUUUGUCAAAUCAUUUUACAACUUCCUACAAGACGGGGGUUGUCAAGGUUAGUGGCUACACACAGUUAUGAAAAAUCUGCAUCCCACUGAAAGUUAAAAUUUUUGCUUGACUAGUACUAAAACGUAAGGUACUUACGAUGAACAAUCUACGAAAAAGGGGUUGGUAUAGAGAGUUAGUGGCUACACACAGCUAUGAAAAAUCCGCAUCCCACUGAAAGUUAAAAUUUUUGCUUGACUAGUACUAAAACGUAAGGUACUUACGAUGAACAAUCUACGAAAAAGGGGUUGGUCUAGAGAGCAAAAUUGUGUACUUUGCUUAGACAUGGAGGAGACGAUUGAUCAUCUUUUUGCCACUUGUGAAGUUACUAGGAACCUAUUGGGGUGUUUGAUGACCAAUAGGAAGGGAACCAACUGCUACACUACAGCCUACACUCUCUGGGUGACUAGUCGACUUAGAGGAAGCACUUUUCGAAAGAAAGAGCUCGCGACUAUUGCCUGCAUCUGGUGAGUUAUCUGGCUCGAACGAAAUAGGCAUAUCUUCCAAAAGUUGAAACACUUACAACAACAAAUGUUACAAGACAUUUGGAAUGCUCGAGAUCUGACAAAUUGGUGCAGAGUAGUACCUACCCCUGAGGGCCUCCAGCGGGGUGUCUUUUUUUGUCGUCUUUUCCGCGCUCCCCUAAGGGAGUUUAUAUUCUUUUCCAUUUAUCCCUUCCUUUUCUCUUUUUUGGGUUUCUUCAAGGCCUAAUUGCCUCACCAUGAAGCUAAGUUCAUUAUCUAAAUGAAUGAAGCGGUAGCAUGGUAUCUAUUUCUCAUAAAAAAAAUUUACUUUUUGUUAAAGACUUUGUUAGAUUUAAAUACUCUAUUAGGAGUUAGUUGUUAAUUAUUUCACUUUUGACAAUCAUUAAUACUGUUAAAUUUAAUAAAAUCUUUAAUUUACUUUAAUAAAAUCUAAACAAGUAUAUAUUUUAGGAGUCCGAUUACAAUAAUAGCACAAAACACUUGAUGCUAUCUAGUUUUUCACCGUUAGAACUAUCUCUUUGAUUACUUUCACCCCUUCGAUCAUGUUAUUCUACCGACCACCUAUUAAAUCAUAUAGAAAACCACUAUCACCUUAACUGCAUAUUUCUUAAUCUAAAGAUAAAAAAUCUAAUAAGCUAGACCAAUGACUUAAUAACAGUAAUAGUAUUCCUACCUAAUUUUAUACUUUGAUAAAAAGAAACUGUAAUAAAUGAGUAGAAUAUUUAGGUACACUUUUGGGCACACAACUAGCUAUCAUUUCUCACUAGAAAAUGUAACCAACCCCACCCUCACUCCACUCCACUCCACAUUCCUCCACCACCACCACCACCACCACCACCACUGCCCCUACCAAGUACCUUUCCCGCAGUAAUCCCCAUGAACGAGUCCUUUCCCUCCAUUUCAUCUUCUUCUUCGUCGUCGUCGUCGUCGUCGUCCGCAUCCGACGUGCUGAUGUCCUUCUUGCUCUCGCUGCCGCCCUCCUCCUUCUCGGCACUCGCGUCCUCCCUGGCUUCCGACCUCCGCCUCCUCCGCUCCCGCCUGGCCCUCCUCCUCCUCUCCCCCGCCCACUUCUCCCGCGCCCUCUCCCGCCUCCGCUCCCUCCCCCUCCCCCUCAAAUCCCUCCUCCUCGCCCGCCUCCUCCUCCGCUCCCUCCGCCUCCUCCUCUCCUCCUCCACCUCCUCCCCCUCCUCCCACCCCCACCGCCUCCGCCUCCUCGACCUCGACGCCGCGCUCCUCCUCAUGGCCAUGUGCGACUCCUACCACCCCCACCGCCCCCACCCUCACCCCGUCGACUGGCGCUCCACCGUCGCCGCCCACGCUCUCUCCUCCGCCCUCAGCCCCGCCGCCCUCGGCGACACCCCCUGGGCCGUCCUUGGCCCCUACGUCGACCUCGCCGCCAAGUGCCCCCGCUUUCUUGAGGUGGUUGCAUGUCAAUAUUAUAUUAAAUAAAAUGAAACAACCGUUGUACUCUACAAACUUAAACUUUAUAUUGAGGCAUUACUUUCUAUGACUUAAAUUUUUAGAGAAUAACGGUUAUUUUAUUUUAUUUAACAAAAACAACUUUUUUUUCUAAGAAAAAAAAAUUUAAGAGGUAAAGUCAUUUUGAGUCGCCUACUCAAUGUUUCGAAAUUCUAAUUUUACUGUCUAACUUUCGAUUUGGUUAAUUCGAGUUAAUUAAUAAUAUAUUGACUUCAAAAUCUGAAUAUGUAGUUUAUAUUUACAGAUUUAAGUUGUAUACUAUAAGCAAUUCUCACAGCUAGCUAUAAUUUUAUUAAGAUAAAUAAUUAGCUUAUCUUUAAAGUCAAAAUGUUUUUAAUCAUGACUCAAAUUAAACAAAUUGAAAGAUUGAAAAAUAAAAUAAAAAUUUUAAAAUGUUGGGUACGUAGCCGGCUCAAAAAGACCCAUAAUUUAGGUAGGUUCUCAACAUUUUUACUAAACUAAAAAGAGUAAAUUAUUUAAUUAGUUCUUGAACUUCUAAUUUUGAUUUUAUUGUAGUCUCCAACUCUUAAUAUUAUUUUAUUUUAAUACCUAUUUUAGAGUAAAAAUUAUUAUCUAUUUACACAGAAUUUAUUUAUAUAUCUAUAAAUUAAUGAAUAUAUCAGCGUUUCAUCUAUGCCAUACUUUUAAUUUAACGCUUUAUUUUUAACGUAGAGAACUCCAUUAUAGUACAUAGAUGCAUAGGCAAAAUUCACCCUCUAAUAAUAAAGCAUAAAUAAGAAGAUUUAGGGACCAUUAUCAUGGAUCGAGAAAAUUUGAGGAUCAAAAUAAAAAAUUGGCCAAUAGUUUAGAGACUCCUGGUGCAAUUUACCCAAAAGCUUAAUAAAGUGCUACAGAAUGGUAAUUUCACAUUUUAUAUUUAAUAUUAUCCAUCGAGUCGAUUUUAAAUUAAAAAAAUAAAAAUAAAAUGAGGCUAUGAUCAUAAUUUGAUUGAAUAAAAAUUUAAUAAGUAUCACUCUCACCAUGAGAUCAUUAUGUUCAUCUUCAACACUAUUUUGAGCACGUUUAUAUAAAUCAACUUAGGAAUGAUUACUAUUUGUACUAAACUUUUGUUCAUGCAUGUGGAGGUGAAUUUAAGAUCUUCCGUUCUGAUAUAAUGUGAAAUAUUUAGUUUUUUUAAAAAAGGAGUUUAAUGUGUUACGCAGAGAGCGAUAUUUUAAUAUAUUAUAUUUUACAGGUUGCCGGAAGCAGCAACGGAGGGGGGAAGAUGGGGGAAGGGGCGAGGGCCGCGGUGGCGGCAGUGGUGGCGCUGCCGUCGGUGGAGUACAGCGGCUGCGAGGAGGGCGACGGAGGCGGCAGCAGAGAGUGCGCGGUGUGCAGGGAGGAGAUGGCGGCGGGGUGGCAAGUGUGCGAGCUGCCGUGCGGCCACCGGUUCCACUGGGGGUGCGCGCUGGCGUGGCUGCGGAAGCGGAACACGUGCCCGUGCUGCCGCUUCGAGCUGCCGACGGAGGACGUGUUUGCGGAGAUCGGGCGGCUGUGGAGGGCGGUGGUCAGGAUCGGCGGUGGCGACGGAACCAGUUGCGGCGGCGCGGGCCGGGCCAGCAGGGGCGGAUGAUGGUGAUCAGGUUACAAAGAACGAGCACACUGGUCAUGAUCGGGAUCAACUGGGACGUAACACACCAGCAGUGUGGUGGUGGUCCCACUAACGGGUCGGGUAGGGACCCGUCAGGUAUGGGUGGAAAGUAACGUGUCUGGGAGGUGCUUUUCUUGUUUUGUUCAUUGGUGCUUGGAUUGGUACAAUGAUGCUGGUGGGGGGAUGCUUUAAUAAUGAGGGUUGUUAAUAUAGAAAAGUGAUUAAUUAAUAAGGGAAAUUAGGACCGACCGUCUCUAGUGCAAAUGAUAAAGGGCUUGAUAGUAGAUAUCUGAGGUUCCAAGUUCGAAUCCUAAUUAUUUAGCAUACUCUUGGCAUUUUAAGGUUUCAAGUUCCAAACUUUAAUUAGUUUAUAUUUCUAGCAAAUUAAACGAAGUCGGUAGUAUAUAUGCAUGCGGCUGUCGAUUCGGUGCAGGUUGUGCGCCACAAAAGCAAGCGCAACAACAAAACCAAACGGGCACUUUGAUAAGAGGAAAACUAUUUUCUACCUCCAAAUUCCGAGCUUCUCGGAUAACAUGUUUCUACUAUCUUUCACUCUCAGACUCGAACUAUUUUUGAUCCCUUAUAUAAGGAUGUAAUGUGAGAUUCGAAACAUUUUUGGGCCCUUAGAAAAGGACAUAAUCUGAACUGUGUCGAGUGGCACCAUCUAUAAGAUAUAUAAUUUGACGGUUACGCGACAUCACAAAAAAGAUUUCUCAAUAAGCCAUGUCUCCUGUUAUGACAAUAAAAAAGAAGUGCUUGCCACAUAGCUAAUAGAAAUUUUGCACCCACUCAUUGCACCGUAAACCAACUAUAAAACAUACAUCAAAGAUAAAUUUUUAUAAUACAAUAAAUUAUUUAAAUAUUUUAUAUUAUAUAUACUAUAUCAUAUUUUAUUUUUCAAUACUAAUUAUCAGAUAUUUUAUCAAUCAUUUAAUAUAUUUUUACGGUAUAUGAAAUAUUAGUAUAUACCAUAUGCAAGCAAAAAAUUUUCCUCUCUUGGAACUAUAGAGUGCACUCUAUUAAGCAUUUUCUAUAUCGAGUGUAUAUAAGUAUAUACACCACAUACUUAAAACCUUCAAUAGAUAUUUUAAAAUAAUUAUUACACUUUGUAGAUUAAAUAUAUUUAUUUACUAAAUUUUGGUAUUCAAAAUCAAUUCUUUAAUAUAAGUUGUGGUGUAUGGUAUAUUAAUAUACACCAUAGGCAUAUAAUAAUUUCUUCAUUCUCCAAUUAAUAUUAACAAGAUAAAGACACCUCACAUAUUUGGUAAUUUAGAAUAAGUUCUCUAAUUUAACUUUUUAAUUAAAAAUUUUAUUUAUAGAAUAGCUACUAAAAUUUAAGUUUGAUCGAAUUUUUAAGUGAAGUUAUUAAAAAAACUUUAAUUCUACAAGUACUAAAAGUUAAAAAAUAUUAAUACAAAAGAUUAGUUUUUAUAUUGUCUAAAAAAGGCUAAAUGAGUUUCUUUUGUAUUUGUCGGCUACAAUUUUUUAAAAAAUUUUAAAAUUUUAAUAAUCAUAUAUGUUGACUGACUGAAAUACUAUUAAACCACUGCGAAGCAUGAACUCUACACUAGUCUAUAUUUAUUUCCGAGCUUUCUUAAAAGAUGACGAAAACUAUCUUCCACCUUCGACUCCAAGCUUGUUUGGGCCCUUCGGGCAGGGCGUAAUGUGGGCCGUGCCAUAUACACGGCACUUUUUGGGGCCCUUAGGUAAGAGUGUAUAAUGUGGAUCAAACAGCCCACGGACUACUUGGCCUGUUUUACAUUCCUGGAAGGAGCUUAUUUGAGUAGAAUUUUUCGAACAAGUUCUUAUUGUAUUUUAAUUAUCCUGUGGCAGUAGAAGCUUGAAAUAAAAAUAAGAAAAUAAAAAAGGGCUCAAGAGUUUAUUUCAGCAUAUAACAGUGAUAACAAGAAGCUUUAGACUUUUGUUUGCUAAAUGCUUAGUCAUUGCUUCUAGAAAAUUUGUUCCAAAAUCCAAACCUAGUGGGGACAAAGCUGGAUUACAUGGCGUCUCUUCGGUAGUUAGAUGCUUUAAGUUGCUACUGUGUUCAUCAAUUGGGACAGAUUAUGAUGAGUGAGCCAAACCUAACAUUUCAAUCAACAGCACAUUAUGGGCCCACUUUAUCUUUAAGAAUUGGGUUGAGUAGAAUAAAAUGAGGGAGACACAUUGAGAUAGGUACCAUGAGAUACAGUAGAAUGUUUCGAAUCUAUCCUUGUUCUGCAAUGCAGUUACUUUCAGAUCGUUGGCGCUAACCAUUAAUCCCAAAAACUCAAGCAGUUAGAAACAUACAACCAAUUCACUUAAAGCGUACAGAUGCAGCACCCACAGAAUUCGACUGUGACUGAGCCGAAACAGCCUCACGCCACUUCGAACAUGGUUUGGUCCAACCUAACCUCCCGUCAUUUCGAACGUGACUCGACCCAACUUGCUCUCUUGCCACAAGACAAUAUGCUAGCCCCUUUAAGCCAAGGGUUACAUGCUAUGCUAAUGAUGGUUGUUGCCAUAAUUUUAUAAUAUUGAAGGACGAAAAAUUAAAAACGCUUUUAAAUUUUUGAGCCUCCCAGAGCAUAAAAGCAGUGCUCGUAACAAUCAUAUUAUCAAACUAGACCUUAAAUCUCUUUGCCAUUUUUUUAUCCUAGUCAUUAUAUAUCAAGCCUUUUCAACCGAAAACAAGUAUAUUUACCAAGGAAUGGCUAUUGUAACUGCUUUACUGUCGCAUAAUACUGUACAAAAAUUUGCAUCAUGUUUUUACACAGCUAGGAGGACAAAAUACAAGCGCGCGCGCGCACACUCUCUCUAGAGGAGAGUUCUCACUCUAUAAGUGUAACUUGGCUAUGACAUGAUUUCAAGAGCCUCCCUCGUCUGCCCGAGGAUGUUAAACACAGUAGCUGCAAUGUGAGAAGGCGUCAAGCCGGCUUCAGCUAGUUGAUCAGAAGGUGAUCCGUGCUCGAUGUAUCGAUCGGGAAGUACCAUUGGCCUCCACUGCAUUGAAAAAUAUAAACAUAUAUAAGUUACUUUUGUACGCCAUCAAAAUGAGCGAAUUCUGCAUGAGGUACCCAACCUUCAAUUGUUACAAUUUAUUCCCUAUUUGCUGUAUAAGAAGAUAAAACAUUCGCUCAUUUGGCACUUAAUUGAUGAUUUCCUCAAUAUUUCUUUUCAGUUUGACGAAAAAAAAUCUAACCAUAUGGAUAAGAUUGCAACAGCGUUCAAGUGUUACAGUUCUAAUUCAAACAAUUCGAAGGUUAGGGAUCCAUUUCUAGGUUGUAAAUAUGCUCGAAUUUAGGAGCCAUGAUGCAACUUACUCCUAACUAUCUUGAGAAGUAGGAGCUUGAUCUUACCUUAACUUUACCAUCAAGAAGACCAUUAAGGGCCAAGAACUGAGCAACAUGGGAACCGAAUCCGCCGAUCGACCCUUCUUCUACGGUGACAAGGACCUCAUGUGACUUAGCUAGGCUUCUGAUGAGAGCCUGAUCCAACGGUUUGCAGAAUCUUGCAUCAGCCACUGUUAUCUUAAGGUCGUGCUUCUCUAACAAAGAUGCUGCAGCCAAGCAGCUUUGGACUGCAGUUCCAUACCCCAAAAGAGCCACUCUCUCGCCCUCAACAAGUAUCCUCCCUUUGCCCACCUGCAAAUGCAUGUUAGUUGUGAUUUGCCGCGCAUUUGCUCGGACACAAGCUAAUUCGAGCUAUUUAAAGAAGCAGUAACUGAUCUUUCAUGUAAAACUCCUCAACAGAUUUUCGCUAGGUAAGAGUCAAAGCUUCCAAUUGGAGCUUCUGCUUUUGAAACCCAAAUGUUCAGUUCAUGAUCCCAUCACAACAAAAACUCCAUACUACUUGUUAGUUCAAUGCUUGUUUUUUAGAAACUUUUGUUUUCUGAAGUAUAGAAGUUAUUGCAGAAGCCAAGUCAAAGCUAAGCAUGCAACAAGUAGAAUGUGUGAACUUAAAGGAAAUACCUUCAAUGGGACGCCUUUGUUUCCUGGGGGUAGGAGGACACCGAUACCAUUCCCUCGCGGAUAACGGACGCAGGAUGGCCGAUCGUUGAUGGCUGCCGCAGUAGCUACCAUAUGAAAGAGUUCAGCCUCAUCUGAAGGAGCCAUGACAACCAUAUUCGGGAGACAUGCCAUGUAUGUCACAUCAAAUGAUCCACAGUGAGUCGGCCCAUCAGCACCGACAAGGCCAGCCCGGUCCAUUGCAAAUCUUACAGGGAGUUUUUGGAGGUCCACAUCAUGGACAACCUACAUUAGUAUAACCAAACCUAUAUAAUCAUCCCAUCAGACGAAUUUUGACCAAACUUCUAUACUGAACUUUGAGGAUUUCAUGCAUGUUUUCCUAAGAAAAUUAGGAAUUGACAUACAUAACAAUGUAAAAAAUCUAAAUUUCGACAUGUAACUCUCAAAAUGCAUUUCCUUUUUCUUUUUACAGUAAUACCCUCAUCUUAUGUUGGGGACUUGUCCAAUCCACGGGUCGAUGUUACUUUUGUACUACAAAUUUUUUUUUUUUCCUCCCCCCAAGGAGACAUGUUGUAAGUAUAAGAAAAUUCAGGAUUUUACAGGAUGUAUAUAUGUUAUAAAAAAUUUUGCAGGGGCAUAUCUAAGAGUUUAUGAUGUUUCUUGUUGUAAUCCUUUCUUUUUCAAUGAAUAUGCACCUUUAUGUUUUAAUUUCUAAAAAAGAAAGAGAGAAUAAUUGGAGAAAAUAACAUGCCUGAUCAUAAGCCCUUUGCAAGAAGGACGAGUAAAUUGCGCAGAAUGGCUUAAGACCUUCGCAAGCUAAACCGGCUGCAAAGGUGACAGCAUGCUGCUCAGCAAUUCCGACGUCGAAGCACCGAUUUGGGAAGCGGCGUAGGAAGUAGUUGAGGCCCGUUCCUCCUCCCAUUGCCGCAUGAAUCGCAACUAUAUCUUUGUCCACCUCUGCCUCAGCUACUAAAGCUUCGGCAAAGUAGUUGGUGUAUGAUUGGGUCUUAGCGCUAGAUUUGAACUGCUUUCCAGUCGCUGGAUCAAACUUGGCCACACCUGUAGAACCAUGAAUUACAUUUGAUUAUGAGAUAGUAACAAAAUUGGCCACAUACAUACAUCUAAAGCUAUGUAAUAUAUAUACCAUUUUUAAAAUCUGAUCUCAUACCUGUCAUAAGUGCAGUUUCUUUCAAAAAUGUUCUUGUUUGAACGAAAUCGGUUCUUUAUUAGAAAAAGAAAACCUUUUAAAAGUAGUUUUUUAUGCUUUCAAAGUGCAUGCAUAAUAUUUUUGAUCAUUUUGCAUACUCUUGCGAAUUUCUUUUAGAAGAAAUAUAGAUGCUUUUCCAUGUACUUGAGUUCUUACCAUGAUAUUUGUCGGCGGCCCUCUCAGCAUAGGGAUAACCUCGGCCUUUCUCAGUUACAACAUGGAUAAGAACUGGGCCAGUCGUUUUCGUGCUUUUGACCUCCUUUAGAAUGGUGAUGAGGUCAUCCAUGUUGUGGCCAUCUACUGGGCCAAUAUAAUAGAGGCCGAGCUCUUCAAACAAGGUUGAACCAGACCCACUGAUCAUUCCUCGAGCAUACUCAUCAACUUUCGCAGCCAAUUCAUGCAUUGAUCCACCGAUCUGCUUUGUAACUCCCUGAAGCACUUCAAAAAAUGUGAUUCAGAUUUUGACCAAGAAACAGAAGAUGGAACAUGUAGUGCUUAUGACAGUAAUAUGAGGUGAUUUACCAAGUGUUAGGAGGAAAGAUUGUGUUAUGGACCAAAUAUAAGUUAGCAUUCAAUAGGUUUUUUUUUUUCAUGCUUUUCUGGUGUAUGUUUUGAUAAAUAGCAACAAUUUAAUACUCAUGUUUCAGCAUAAAAAAUGGGGCAUUGUCAAGUUUUACGAAAACAUUUCAUUGGUUCAAAAUCAUUGAAUAAAGCUCCAAUCAAAGGAGCAGUCGAAAUAUUCUAUCCAAGAAGAAUCCAAAAUCUUACAGCAACAAUUAUAGGAAAUAUAUCACAAGAAGUGAAUUAUUUAUAUAAGAAAAUACAGGAAGAAGAUUUCAUAGAGGUCGAUGCUUGUAACAUUACCUUGGCCACCUCCCUGAGUUCUCGUAGGGGCCUGCUGGACUGCAAUCUACUGAGCGCACUGCUCAAAGCUCCAACUGGCGGAAUUGGUCCAUCAAGGGUUGCAGUAGGCAGAGAAACCUGUUUGUUAUCAUUCAGAAUGACGAUCAUAUCGGAGUCGAGAUAGCCAGCAUUGUUCAUGGCUUCAUAAGCUUGCCCGGCAGUCAUGGCUCCGUCUCCUAUUACUGCAAUCACGUUGUUCUUUCUUCCCUUGAGGUCCCUCCCCACAGCCAUUCCUGCUCAAAUUGAGGCAAGUAAGCAAAAAGCAUAAUACCUUUAGUUUUAAUUUAUACGGAACAGUACGUAUUAGAUAACAUGAAAUGUUAGCAUGAUUUAUUCGGCAUUUUCUGAUCUUUGUUUUUAGUGCCCUUCUCUUUUUUCCGAAUGUAAGACAUAAGGUGAGUGCUGAUUAGUCUGGCUUAUGGAAUAACUUCUCUGCUACAAGAAAUAGCAAUCAGCUGGUUACCAAACAAAAGGUCUUAAGCUUUCUCUACGGUGAAAAGCUAAAGUAUACUUGGGCCCAAAAGUAGUGGAACUUGAAGCUUCUUGUUAGGAUAUUUUGACGAAAAAGCUGUUUCUGCUUUCUCAGGAAGCUCUAUUCGAAUUGCACUUCUAAAGAAGCCCCAGGGCGGGCAAGACAGGCCCUUAGGCUGUCAAAAUAUAAAUAGAGAAGAGCAAAGGGAAAGUGGUGUUACCAAGAGCUGCCGAAAUACUGGUUGAACUGUGACCAGUACCAAAGGAAUCAUAUUCACUCUCCGAACGUUUGGUAAAUCCCGACAACCCGUUAGUCUGUCUAAUUGUUGGCAUCCUGUCCCGUCUUCCUGUCAAGAUUUUGUGCGGGUACGACUGCACAGAAAACAAAUUUAAGAAUUCGACAUCACAUUUUCUCCAGAAUUGCCAUCUAUUAGUGUUAGCUAACGUAUCGUAAAUGCAGACUUCUGGUAAAACGAAAGAAAGGGAAACAGCAAAACCUGGUGUCCGACAUCCCAUAGAAUCUUGUCCUGGGGAGCAUUGAAGACAUAAUGGAGCGCCACUGUCAACUCAACCACACCAAGACUCGAGCCGAGGUGACCCCCGGUCUUUGAUACAUUGAAGAUAACAUCAGAACGGAGCUCAUCGGCUAGCUGUUUAAGCUCCUGCAAUGGAUUAACACGAACGAGCACACAACAACUUCAGCACCACAAAGCUCAAACUAGUUCGGUAUUAUCGCUCUUUGACGCAUUUCAUCGGACAUGAGGAGAGUGCACCUUGAUGGAGAGGUUCUUCAUAUGAAUUGGGUAAUUGACUGUGUCCAGCAGAGGAGUUGGUGGCCUCUGUGCAUGGUACUCUCCUGCCUCUGAUAGUGAUGCACAAACACAUGGCUUUCUCCUAGGCUACAAAACCAGAACAAUUUUUUUUUUUUAUUUUUUUAUUUCAAUUACCACUUCUAAAGAUUUAGGUUCCUUGAUGGGUAUUGAACAUGAAUAACAAACAACAGUUCCAUCAACAAGUUAAAUUUUACUAUAUUCAACAGCUCAAUCAGGCAUUAACAGGGGUUAGCACACAAUAAUGCUAGAAUUUUAUCCUAGAAUUCCAACUUAAUCAAGAAUGAUAAAGCAUAAAUAUGCAUUUAUUACUCAAAAGAUCGAUCUGAUAGAAAACAGACACGAGGAUAUGACAGGUGAGACAGAAAAUAGAAACCCGCCAAGUUCAGAAUUGGUUCUAAUACCAUAUUACUCAAAAGAUCAAUCUGCUAGGAAACGAGUUCAGGAACAUGAGCAAGAGCAUCAAGAUAGAUAGAGAGAUGAAGCAAAAAAAAAAAAAAAAAAAAAAAAAAAACAACCUUGGGAAGCCUGUGUUGAUGCUUGUGGGAUUGGAAAUCAACUCCACCAAGCAAAUGGGGAGAGAGGGAGGUGGCCUUCUGGGGAUCUGCAGCAUUUACACCAAGAACAUAGCCAGGAAGAGAGAAUGUGGAGAGAGCCAUGGGAAGGAUGGUGGUGAGAGAGAGUCUUUAGCAAGAGGAAAUGGGGAAGUUGAGAAGAGGAGGAGAGAGGUUAGUGGUCUUAUAGUGGGGUGGUAUUUAAUGUGGGAUUACAGUGAUAUCUUAGUGAGCCCAUGAAUGGGGGGAGGGAAUGGCACUGAGGAGGAGUGGGCUUAUGUGAGUGGCUGAUAUUCAUUUGCUACAACACCCCCUCCUAAGUCCUACCCCACUCCCUUUGCAUUCUCCUUAACUCUCUCUCUCUCUCUCUCUCUCUCUGUUUGUUUGGCUUCUCCCCUGGACACUUUUGAGCAGAUAUGAGCACUCUCUCUCUCUCCCCUCCCCAUUGGACCACCUCAUCAAAGUAUCAAGAGAGUGAGGAUAAAGUGGUGGUGAUAAAUCUGAAAUUCUAAGAGAAGCAGAGAAAACUGGGGGAAGAGAUUAGGAGAUGACAGGAACUGCACUCUCUUACCAAACAUUCUGAGCAACCAAACAGCCUCCCAAAAAAAAAAAAAAAAAUUGUGAAACUUUUUUUCAAAAUUUUUCAUCCGUUUGAUUUUUAAAAAGAAAGUCUUUUUGAAAAAAAUUUCUCCAAAUUUUAUAGAAUCGUCUUUUAGAUUUCUUUUUUGAAACAAAAACAUUAGGUUUCCUUAAAUUCUAGAAAAAAAAAUUUAAAAAUUAUACUUUUAGAAUCAGACGGGCGGAAAAUUGGAAAAAAAAAAAUCCAUAGAAAACUUUUUUCCCCAGCUGCAGUUUUCUGUUUCCUCCAAAAAUUGUGGAAAAAUAUUUCCGAGAAAAAGUUUUCUUAUCAUAAAAUCAUUUUUUGUUUUCCAUUCGUUUGGUUCCAAAAAAAAUAAGUUUUUAUAGAAAUUUUGUUUAUAUAUUUUAUAAAAAAGAUAGUAUUUUUGUUUACUUAAAAAAAAUCUGAAAAAUAAAAGUGUUAGUUUUUCGUGAAAUAUGAAAAAUAGAUUUCCUAAAAUGCUUGUUUUCCUUAAAACUAAAUGAAUGAAAAAUUACAAAAAUAAAAUUUUUAUGAAAAAUUAUUUUCUGGAAAAAAAAAUUCUUAUACUUUUUUGAAAAACCAAACAGUCUCUAAAUGAAAAUUCACAUCUUAUUACAGGAACCGCACUAUUGGUAAUCGACGAUCCUUAGAAUCUUCAAUUAUUUGCUUGUCUCGCAUUAAUCAAUCUAAACCAAUGCCAAAAAAACAAAGAAGAGGAAAACAACAGCAAAUCGAUGCCUAAGAUUUCCUAAUUAGAUUUUGAUAAUUCGCAAAAUAAAAAAAAAGUCAUUAUUGUUCUACUAUUUUCAAUCAUGCUUGAUUAUGGAUCAUUGAUUAAAAGCACUGUUUCUAUAUUUUCAUACUAUUAUAUAAUUUCUAAUACCAACCAGAAAUACAUAAUCUUUGGUUAAUUCCUCAGAUUACUAUGCUAAUCUCGAGAUCUAUAAUAAAUCUCAACCUUGCUAAAUUGCUCUCCAUUUGCUAGCAUUGAUAGUGAAAUGUAAAGCAAAAUCCACGACAAACCCUAAUUCUUUUCGUUACAUGUUUGUUCAUAUGAAUAUCUUAUUUUGCACAUCAGAAAAAUUUUGCUUACUCCAGGGUUUGGGUGCAAUCUAGCUCGCUGUUCGCGAGCCAGCUCGCGUUCGGUUCGAAAUGAGCUCGAGAUCGACUCGCUCGUUUAAUAAACGAGUCGAAUACGAGCUGAAUUUUUCAGUUCGUUUAAUAAACGAGCCGAACACGAGCUGAGGUUAGCUCGCUCGUAUUCGGCUCGAUAACAGCUCAAAUACAUAUAUUUUAUAUUUAUAUAAAUAAAUAAAUAGUUAUAUAUAUAAUAUAAUUUUAUAUUAUUUAAUUUUUUGUCCAACCUAAAUAUAAAGCCCAAUUCAAUUAUAAAAGUGUUCACGUGUAUGUAAAGUUUCAACCGCUAGAUCAAAGCUUGAUGGAUACAAUCUAAUAAAUUUAUUUUCUAUAUAUAUAUAUAGAGAGAGAGAGAGAGUAGGUUUUGCGUGCUAUUAGGAGCAUGGAGGCUUCCGUAUUCCUAAGCCGUUUUCGAUUAUGAAGCUUCCGAAUCGACGAUCGGCUCUGUUGGACUUGAUCUAGCAUAUUUGAAAUAUAUAGAAAAUAAAUUUUGCGAUUUUUCGAUAUCAUUUACCUAACGAUCGAAAGGGUUCAAAAUCAACAAUUUUUAAUGGUUGAUGUAUAUCAUUUGCAAGUUUAAUGAUAUAGAAGUAUCCAAAUCAGAUGAAGUUUUGAUAGAAAAUUCUUUAUACUAUUUACUGCAAGAUCAACAUCUCUGACCGAAAAUUUUUAUGUUAUUUCACCACGUUUUAUGAGAUUUUUAUUUUCAGCCGUUGAUUUCGAACCCUUUCGAUCGCUAGGUAAAUGAUAUCGAAAAAUCACAAAAUUUAUUUUCUAGAUACUUCAAAUAUGCUAGAUCAAGUCUAACGAAACCGAUUAUCUAUUCGGAAGCACCAUCAUCGAAAACGACUUAGGAGCACGGAGGCCUCCGUGCUCCUAAUAGCACACAAGACCUACUCUAUAUAUAUAUAUAUAUAUAUAUAUAUAUAUAUAUAUAUAUAUAGAGCCCGGCUAAUAUACUAUUAUGAGUACGAUCGCCCUCGUACUCAUAAGUUGUUUUCGAUGAUAGAACUUUCAAAUCGACGAUCCACACCGUUAAAUGUUAUCUUGAACAUUUAAAACUUCUAGAAAUCAAAUUUCAUAAUUUUUUGACAUCAUUUACCUUACGAUCAAAAGCUCACAAAAUUGACCAUUUUUAAUGGCCGGUAUGGGAUACUUGCUAGUUUAACAAUGUAAAAGAAUUGGACUAGGUUGAAUUUUUGAUAGAAAAUUCUAUUCACUACCUAGAUAAAGAUCAAUAAUUCCGAUCUUAAAUUGAAGGAUCCGAUUAUCGAUUUUUAAGACAUCGUUCGAUUUUGACCGUUCGUUUUAUGCCCGCUUGAUGGACUUUAUUAUGAUUUCGAAAAAUUACGAAAUUUAUUUUCUAGAAGUUUCAAAUACUCUAGAUCAUAUUUAACGGAGUGGAUCGUCGAUUCGGAAGCUUCAUCAUCAAAAACAACUUAUGAGUACGAAGGGUCCAAUACUCAUAAGAGUAUAGUAGCCCUACUAUAUAUAUAUAUAUAUAAUAAUUAUUUAUUUAUAUAUUUAAAUAUAUAUAAAUAUAAAUUAAAUAAAUUAUAUAAAUAUAAAAUAUAUAUAUUCGAGCUAUUAUCGAGCCGGACACGAGCAAGUUGACCCCAUUUCGUGUUUGGCCCGUUUAGUAAACGAGUUAAAAAAUUCAGCUCAUCUUCAGCUCGUUUACUAAACGAGUGAUUCGAUCUCGAGCUCAUUUCGAGCUGAACACGAGCCGGUUCGCGAACAGUGAGCUGCAUUGUCACCCCUAUAUACAUAACUAAAAAAGCAUUCAAAAUAUCUAUUAUUAAAAACCAAAUGCAUAUUCUUAAUUAAGUAUUACAAUAUAAAUUAAUAAAUUCGGUCAAUUUAUAUAAAAUCAGAUCGACUAAUUAGUUCACUGAUUGAAUUAUUAAUCUAAAUAAAUUAAAAUAAAUUUUAAAUCAUUAUAAAUUGAACCGAAUCGAUUGGUUUAGACACUAAAUUACGGUCCAAUCAAUACCGACGAAUACACCUCCACUUUCGGUGAAACAAACACUUGAUAUGAGCGCACAGUCCAUUAUUUGCGGCGGUGAGCACCGACCGAGAAGGGUCGGGUGAUUGAGCGACACGUGUGGCUUCAGAAUUGCCACGUGUUUGCUCAGCACCGAGGGGGCGACCCGCUACGACGUGUACACGUGGCCCGGAGCAACUCACGAAAAUUGAAACGCACCUCUCCGUUUCCCACACUCGACAGCGACGUCACCUCAGAGUCUCUCUAAUUCACCGAAAAUUUUAGAAUGUAACGGAUAUAAUGAUAACGUAGCGUAACAAAUAAAUUAAAUAUAUUUUUUUAGAAAUAUAUGUUUCAUAAUAAUUGUAAAAAAAUAUUUUUAUUAUACUUUUAUUUAAAAAGAAUAAAUAUAAUUGGCUUGUUAGUGAUGACGUGGUGCAAGCGUGACAGUAUAGAAUUCCUCCUAAUUCACUGUAAACGUUUUAAUUGAAAAAAUUGUAAAUAUUUCUUGUACGAUUUAGAACUUUUUUAUUAAAAAAAUUUUAAAUAUAUUUCGUACUUUUUCAUUCUAUAAUUUAAAAUAUUUCAAUUUAGUAUUAUAUGAUUUUAUUUUUCUAUUUUCGUCAGUUCUUUCGUUAACAUUUCGUUAAAUUAUAUAUAAAAAAAACUUUAGAUACCUCACAUAGAUUUAUCGAAUAUUUAUUUUAGUAUCUUUUAAUUUUAACUUUGUCACUUAUUUAAUAAAAAAAGAAUUAAUUGAAGAAAUAAUAGAAAGAGAAAAAUAAAAUCACGGUGUAUUAAAUUGAUACACUUUAAAUUAUAGAGUACUAAAAUAAAAAAAAAUACAAAAUCACAGUAGUGUUAUUUGAAGUUUUUUCCUUUUUUAUUUUAGUAUCUUAUUAUUUAAAUUGUAUCACUUUAAUAUUUUAUGCUUUUAUUUUUUCCUUUUUUAUUAUUUUUUGUUAAUUUUUUCGCUAAAUAGGUGAGAAAGUUAAAAUCACAUAAUACUAAAAUAAAAAUUUCGUAAAUUAUAAAAUAUUGAAGUGAAUAUUCGAUAAAUCAUAGGGAAGUAUCUGAAGCUUUUUUCAUAUAUUUUAACAGAGAGUUAACGGAGAUACUGACGGAAAGAGAAAAAUAAAAUCACAGAAUACUAAAGCGAUAUAUUUUAAAUUAUAAGAUAUUAAAGUGAGAAAAAGUUAAACUACAAGAGGAUAUUUGAAAAUUUUCCUAUUAAUUUUAUAAUAAAGCAUCAUUUAGGAGCUCUCUACUUAAGUUUUUUUUUUCUUUUUUUUUUCUUUUUUUUUUUUUUUUUUUUUUUUGGCUCAGUUACAUACUUACAUGAGAAACUGUUGCAUGAAAUUGAAAGGCACUUCUCGGAUUUCAAAUAGUUGUAUACGCAUCUGUUUCCUUCCUCCUAAUUACUUUUUUAAAUUCAAAAAUAUUUUUUUAUACACUUCUAAGGUUUAUAGUUUAAAUAUACUUCAAAUUUCAAAUCUAUUCCUAUGAAAUUUAUAUUUUUUUCAAUAAUUCUCUGGGGCAGGAAUAUAUUGAGAAAAAAGUGGCACUGUUCCGAAAAUAAAUCAGAUAAUAUUCCGAAGCAAAUUUGAAAGCAAAGAUAAAUCAUACAUAUAUAUGAAAAUUUGAUGUACAAAUAAGAUAUUAUCUAUUAAAUUAAAAAUAAUAUUACAUGAAGUAAUUAAAAUUUUAAAUGAAAAUUAUAUUAUUAUUAUUAUGAUUAUUAUUUUGAAGCUAAUGACUUUAGAAUUAUAGUUAUUUUAUUUUUAAUUUAUUUUUUCAAAAAAAUUUUAUAUUAACAUAUAAGAAAGUAAAAAGAAAUGUUAAUGCUUUAUUAAAUUUUUCUUCUUUUGUAAUUAAUUUUGCCAUCACAAAAACCAAUUAAGGCAUUUUAAAAAAGCAAAAUUAAUUUAAUUUAUAGCGAAGCAAAAACAAAAGUGAGUAUUUGUGGCCCAAAAUAAUUUUAACUCCCUCCACUUUCCGCAAACCACCAUGCCCUUCGUGCAUCAUCCAGUACACCCUAAAAUAAAAUUAUUUAAAAACUAUAAAUUCAGAAUAUUUGUUUAUGUAACUAUUUUAUUAUACUGGAAAAAUUAAAUCAUAAUGAUGAUUGGAUGUGUAUAUUUUGCAAAAUUUACAAUGUUUCGUACAUAGAAUAAUUUAAGACAAAAAUGUACAUAACUUAUCUGCACUAUAAAUUAUUUUGAAUUGGCUGUCCAAUCUUUCAAAUUUUAAUUUUGCCAUCCAAUCUUUUAAUGUGUUUGAUUUGACUUAGUUAACGAUACUUUUACUUCAAAAUUUGAUUGGAUCGUUUUUUUUAGAGUUUAGCUUGUGUACUUCAUAUAAUUAUCACAACUAUAAAUUUAUUAAAUUAGCUUAAAUUCUGAAAUCAAAAUAUUGUUAAUUGACUCAAAUAAAAAAAUGAACGAUCGAAUAACAAAAUUAAAAUUUUGAAAGGUUGGAUAGUUUAUUCAAAAUGGAAACUAGUUUGGAUAAGUUAUAUACGUUUUUAUUUUUUCUUAAUUUAGAUCAUAUUUAUUAAACUAGAAAAGUGAAAUAUAUAUAUAUAUAUAUAUAUAUAUAUAUAUAUAUAUAUAUAUAUAUAUAUAUAUAUAGAGAGAGAGAGAGAGAGAGAGAGAGAGAGAGAGAGAGAGAGAGAGAGAGAACUAGUGCUAUUAAUAGCACUAAGUCAUUGGUGCUAUCAAGUUUUUUACCGUUGGAUUAAGAGAUGUGCGGUUAGGAUGAUGUGGGCCUCCUAGGGUUGAGUGGGUGGUUGGUUGAAUAGUAUGAUUUAACGGAUGAAAAUGAUCAAAAGGGUAGAUCUAAUGGUGGAAAACUUGGUAGCACCAAGUGCUUUGUGCUAUCAAUAGCAUAGUAACCGGACUCAUAUAUAUAUGGAAAAACUUCAAAAACCCUCCAUGUGGUUUCGUAGUUUCUCACUUUACCCUCCUGUGGUUUAAAAUGUAUCAAUUUGCCCCCCUGUGGUUUCUUUUUUCUCUUUUUCUUAUCAAUUUUAUUAUUUUUUUUCUUAAAUCAGUGAUAAAGUUAAUUUAAAGGGUACUAAAGUAAAUAUUUGAUAAAUCUAGAUGGGUAUCUGAAGUUUUUUGUAUAUAAUUUAAUGAAAUAUUAACGAAAAAGCUACCGAAAAGAUAAAAACGAAACCACAGGGGGGCAAUUUGAUACAUUUUAAACCACAAGGGGGCAAAGUGAGAAACUACGAAACCACAAAGGAGGUUUUUGAAGUUUUCCCUAUAUAUAUAGAGAGAGAGAGAGAGAGUCGUUACUAUCAUUUUCGUGCUUAUAAGUCGUUUGCGAUAAUAAAACUUCCUACUUGACGAUCCAUACAGUUAAACAUGACUUAGAGCAUUUGAAACUUCUAGAAAUUAAAAUUUAAAAUUUUUCACCAUCAUCUACCUUAUGACCAAAAGAUUUCAAAAUUGAUAUUUUUUAACGGCCGGUGCGAAAUGCUUGUUAGUUUAACGAUAAAAGUAUCGGAAUUGAUUAAAUUUUUUAUAGAAAAUUCUAUUCACAAUAUGAAUAAAGAUCAAAAAGUCCGAUCUUACCUGUUUUUAAAAAGUCGUUUAAUUUUGAUCGUCCAUUUUAUACCACCUGUCUGAUGGACUUUAGUAUUGCUUCGAAAAAAAGAAAAACGACUUUUUACUUACGAUCUCCAGUACCAAUCAUGCAUCAAAUUUUUUGUCCCUUGCGUUAGGAACAGUCGGUAACAGAUUUGUUGAGUCUAGUGUUCUUAAGCUCAUUCUAGUGAAAAUGGAAAAAGGGCUGUGGUCCUUGUAGGUGGGAGGAAGAUGAAUAGGAUUGCUUCUUGACAGUUCUGUCACGAUGUUGUCGUUGUCAAAUGAUAGAUGCCUCAGCAAAAAAUCGUGAAGUCAGCCGCCUCCACCCACCAUGUGAUCUUAAAUUUUGGGGUUCGUACGUCGUCUUCGUGUCACUCUAUAAGGAUACAACGAGAGGAUCGAGUGAAAGGGACUGCCCAAUUUUCUAAUUAAAAAAAAUACUUCACAUUUCAUUUAGGCCAUAUUUAGUUGGAGGGUAAAGAAAUUUAUUCCAUCCUUAUCCUUCAAAUAAAAAAAAAAAAUUGAUGAGAAUACUAAUUUCCAUCUUAAUGCAUUAAAUAGAGCUGGUAAACGAAUGGAUUGAGUAACCCGCAGGCAGGUUAUUGUAUCCGCGGAUUACUUAGGUAUGGAUAAAAUUUAUCCGUAAAUUUUUGUGUAGCCAACAUCAUUGUCCAAACCCCCUGCGGGUGGGCGAGUGGGUCCGUAAUUUUAUUUUUUUUUGCACAUAUGCUUUUUAAAUGCAAAACAUAUAUAUAUAUAUAUAUAUAUAUAUAUAUAUAUAUAUAUAUAUAUAUAAUAAUUAGGCUACUAUACUAUCAAUAGUACGAAGCCCUUGGUACUAUUGAGUUUUUGCCGUUGAUAAAAGGAUGUGCGGUUAGAAUGAUAGUGGUCCCCUAGAGUUGAGUGGGUGGUUGGUUUAAUAAUAUAAUCUAAUAGGUGGAAAUGAUCAAAAGGUAGAUCUAACGGUAAAAAACUCAAUAGUAUCAAAGGCUUGGUACUAUCAAUAGUAUAGAAGCCGGACUCAUAUAAUAUAUAUAUAUAUAUAUAUAUAUAUAUAUAUAUAUAUAUAUAUAUAUAUAUAUAUAUAUAUAUAUGUUUUUAAAAACGUAAAAUAACUUAUUAUUUAAAAUAUCAUAACAUAUAAUAAAAAUAUUUAAAGUCGUAAAGCAAAAAUAUUUCAUAAUAUAAAAGACGCGUAAUAAGAAAUUAGGAUUAAAAUUUUUAGGAUGAGUAAUAAAAAAUAUAUAUUAAUUAAGAAAAUAUAUUUUGUAAAUAAAAUAUAUAUGUGCGGGUAUCCGUGGGUCCCUGCGGAUUAUCCAAAAUACCCACUGCUUAAUGGGUACCCAUCCGUUUUACUUGUAAUUUUUUGGUUGGAAAAAUUGGUACCUAUACCGUAAAUUUUUGGAUAAUCGCCGGGUACCCACGUUUUGGGUCAAGAUUUCCAGGUCUAGCAUUAAGGGCCCGUUUGGAUUGUAGAUAAGGGAUGGAAUAACCCUUGUCCCUUCUUUAUACUCAAAUGCUAAUUUUUUAUUCGAGAAUAGUAGUUCCGGGUAUCUGAAAUAAGCUGGUAUAACUAUCCACCAACACAUCUAUUUCUAUAUAUAACUACCCCUAUUUUUCUUAUUCGAUCUUAUCUACCUAAACGCUAUUUUUUUAUCCCGAAAACAACUCAAUUUUCAUCCAAACGCUAUUUUUCUUAUCCCUAUACUUGUACCUAUCUGUAAAGGGAUGGGAACUAGUGUCCCCACCCUAAGGUGAAACAAGCUGAGACAACCCAGCUUGUUCCACUUGUGAAGUAAGGGUGGCAAUCCAGCUCGCUGUUCGCGAGCCAGCUCAUGUUCGGCUCGAAAUGAUUCAAGAUCGAAUCGCUCGUUUAAUAAACGGGCCGAACACGAGUUGAAUUUUUUUGCUCGUUUAAUAAACGAGCCGAACACGAGCUAAAUUUUUCGGCUCGUUUAAUAAACGAGCCGAACAUGAGUUAGGGUCGUUCGCUCGUGUUCGGCUCGAUAACAGCUCGAAUACUUAUAUUUUAUAUUUAUAUAAUUUACUUAAUUUAUAUUUUUAUAUAUAAAUAAAUAAUUAUAUAUAAUAUAUAAUUUUAUUAUUUAAUUUUUUUAGUAAAAUAAAAUAUAAAUGCAAACUUAAUUAUAAAAAAACUCAUUUAUUAUGCAAAGUUUCAACUAUUAGAUCAAAGUUUAAUGGAUAAUAUUUUAUAAAUUUAGUAAAAUAAAAUAUAAAUGGAAGUUGAAUUUUCGGCUCGAUAGUUUAACGGACCAGCUCGUAUUCGACUUGUUUAUUAAACAAGCAGAACACGAGCCGAUCCCUCGUGUCGGCUCGUUUACAUCCCUAUCGUGAAGAGAGAGAGAGAGAGAGAGAGAGGAGAGGGGGGGGGGGAGAGAUAAUUUUUAAUUUAUUAAAUUUUGUAAGUUAAAAAAUUAAAAUUUAUAAUUUUUAAAAUUACAAAAUUAAGAAUUUAAAUUUUAAAUUGUUUAAUUUUAAAAUUUGAUAUUUUAAAUUUUUUAUAUUUAGAAUUUGAUAUUUUGUAUUUUUAAAUUAAAUUUACAUUUGAAAUUUAAAGUUUAAAAUUUAAAAGUUUAUAUUUUAAAUUCUAAAAUAUAAAUAUAAAAUAUAAAAAUUUAAAUUCUAAUAUAAAGAAACAUUAUUUUUUAUUUAUAACUAUCCACUUUAAUUCUUAUUCCAUUUUACCUAACCAAACUUUAUUUUUUUUAUUUUCAGAAAUAAUCUAAUUUUUAUCCAAACGCAAAAUUAAUAUAAUCUCCGCUUAUAUCUCAAUUUAUAUAUAUUUCGUGUAGUAUCCCUGGUGUUCAGCUUUUGAGGCUUGGCGAUACGCCGUGAGGGUGUCGGGACAACUCCGAGUCUCGUUGGCGCGAAAUAGACGCAAAACGGACUCAGCGGGGACGCGAGAGCAAAAGUUCGCUUUGGAAACUGUAAUUGCAGAUUUUUCUGUUUGUGUACCGGUACAGCAUCAGGGGUGUACCGGUACACAUUUUGUACCGGUACAGUAUCGGAGGUGCACCGGUACACUUUGCCUGUUUCCGCGCAGCUGCUCUCGGGUUGCCAUUUGUACCGGUACAGAUGCACGUGUACCGGUACACCAGGGUAGGUAAGAGGGCAUUUUAGUCUUUUUUUGCCUCGUACGUAUCACCAUCCCUUCCAUUUGCUUUAUGUACGUGUUGGGGAGCUGAGGAGGACUUCUUGCAUGCUUCUUCUCCUCUUUCUCUCUCUAGGCUCAACCGUGAGCAAAGAGGAGCUCGGGUGGUUUUGGAUCGACGCCGACGUCGCGCCGCGGAGCCGUUCGAGCACACGAGCACCGUUGUUGCUGCGUUGGGAAGCCGAUCGAGCGUGUGAUUUCGCCAUUUCGACGUCGUGCCGGUGUUGGUUAGCGUUUCGAGGUGGGUUUAUCAUCGGUUUUCUACUCCUAAGGUCUCGUUGGUCGGCAUGUAUACUUCGUGCAAACACUACUUGUAUUAUAGCUCGAAUUCAUGAUUGUUUCAGGUUUUUGCUAACUAAACUGAAUUUGGAGCAUGAUUUUAGUUGUGGAUAGAUUAUACAUAUCGGCCUUGGAUUUGACGUAGAAGAAAAUUGCGAUUAUGACCUGUCAUAUGUCUAAACUACCUGAUUUAGCUCUAGGAGCCGUUGUUAUUUUGUAUUGCCGUAAUAUCUGCGUGGUGGAUACCCCAGAUAGUUUAGAUCUCUGUUACGCUCGUGCUGCGAUGCCGAGAGUAUUUUUACAGUAGUGUUCAGACUGUUUCGGAUAGUUGGGUGCCGUCGGGACUGAUGGUGGACCCAGUUGCCGAGUUGGCAUCGGCUUGUGCCGAGGGGACGUGACUUGUGGGUUGUUAGACCAGUUGGAUCAUGUUUCUUGACUUUAGCCUGGGAGAGCCUGAUUGAGCUCGACAGAGAUACGCUUGCAUACUCGUUUGGGUCGCGCCUACGAGUGUCACUCCGGAGUCGGGCUUUAUACUUUUGCGUCAGUGUCGUUGUGUUCUGGUUGGACUUGCUCUGCACUAAUUACCCAGCGUGGUGGUUGUUAGUGUAGCUUCGACAGGCAGGAUGGGUGUAUCACAGUCCCUGGUGAGAUUGGGUCAGGAUUUACUUUUACUAUAGUUGGUUAGUGUAGAGCAUGAUAGUGUAGUGACAUGUAGCUGUAGAUUGUCUUUCAGCUUUCCCUUCUAUCUUUACUUCAUUCUGUAGACUUAGUGGGUGGACCGAUGAUGUUGAAGGCAGCACCCACUGAGGACUAUUUAUUUUUUUACAGUAGUUCUCACGCCCAGUUAUUUCUUUUCGUUUUGCAGAGCCGUCGUCGUCGGCUGUUGCUGAUCCUGAUCGUGGCAAGGACGUCGCGGGUUAGAACCCUACCAGACGAACCCGAGCUAGUGGAGUACCAGCUACAGGUAGUUGUAGUUUUUCGUUCAUUACAUACUGAUGUUAUACCUCGCUGGAAGGAGUGUUUUUGUACCAGGAUAUUAUGUAUGUAUUGAUCCAUUUUUAUUAUACAUUCAUGUUCGUUUUACUAGCAGCUCUAUAUUACUGGUUGUAGUGUUGUAUUAUUACAGGUACAGUUACAGCUUCGCUUCGUAUAGAGAAAAAAAUUUUAUGUAUACGGCGGGUCUGUUGGUGUGCCCGGAAAAACGAGUAAUCCGGGGCGUAAUAAUUUCUGGAGUAGCCACUUUUUAUUUAUUCCCGAAUCAAACGAUAGCUUAGAUUGUUAAUAUUUAAAAAGUAAUAAAAUUAGUAUAAAAAUAUUUGGCUCUUAAAUUAAUAGGAUGUGAGAUUCAGACUUAUUUUUGGAGUCUAUAGAGAGUAAUACUACUUCUAACUAUAUCUUUUAUCGAAUGAGGACUUUAAUUAUCUUGCUCAUAUCUUGCUCGUGUGAAAUAGACCCAAAAUUGUGAAAAUACAAUUAUUAAACUCAGUUGUCCAGCUUUCAUUUCUUCAGUAAUAUGAGAGUUUUGGCGUAGAAAAAUAUUUUUAAAAUGAGUUAGCUAAUAGCGCUUGUAAACUUAUUUUUAUAAAAUUUAAUUUAUUAUCAAAUUCACCAAUUUUUCUAAUGUUGAACCUAUCUAAGAUAGAGUGGAAGUAUACAUAAAGUAAAAAUUGACAAAUAUUUUUAAGACAAAUGCUACUUUUAUACCAUAUAUAUAUAUAUAUAUAUAUAUAUAUAUAUAUAUAUAUAUAUAUAUAUAUAUAUAUAUAAAGUGAGGCUACUAUGCUAUUGGAAGUAUGGAGCCUUCCGUGCUUUCAGCUCAUUUUUGAUGUUGUGACUUUCGAAUCGUCGAUCGGCUCUAUUAAACUUGAUCUAGAGUAUUUGAAAUACCUAGAAAAUAAAUUUUAUGAUUUUUUGAUAUCAUUUGCCUAGUGAUCGAAGGGACUCAAAAUCAAUAAUUUUAAAGGUCGUAGUGAGCCAUUUACAUGUUUAACGGUGUAAAAAUAUUCAAAUAACGUGAAAUUUUGAUAGAAAAUUCUUUAUACUAUAUAAAACAAGAUCAAUAUCUUUGAUCUAAAAUUUUAAUGUCAUAUUAUCACGUUUUGUAAGAUUUUUAUUUUCAGCCGUUGAUUUUGAGGCCCUUCAUUCACUAGGUAAAUAAUAUCAAAAAAUUAUAUAAUUUAUUUUCUAGGUAUUUCAAAUACUCUAGAUUAAAUUUAACGGAGUCGAUCGACGAUUCAAAAGUCGUAACAUCGAAAACGAGCUGGAAGCACGAAAGGCUCCGUGCUUCCUAUAGCAUAGUAGCCUUACUCUAUAUAUAUAGUGUAAAGCUACUAUACGUCCGAAAAUAUAAAAUAGUUAGUACUCUCGCCUUUUGAUCCUUGGAGAAAGGGUUGGGAUAAUGGAGGUUCCGACUCUUUAGAAUUUAGUGGUCGCCACAAGAAAAGAAUAUUAAUCUAAAGACUAAAAAUAAUCAAACAAGUAACAAGCUCUUCCCUUCUUUGGAUAAAAGUUAGGCCUUUUUCAUGAGCUUUUAAGUGAAUUUUUCUAAUUAAUGAAGAUGGACUGAUGGCUACUUAUCAAGUCCAGUGGUACUCCUUAAAAAAGGACGGGGGAGGGAAAGAGUGGAGCUUCAACAUCCACACAGGAACGUCUACUCUUUUCCCUUAUCAAGCGAGCCAGACCCCAUUGUUACUGUUACUGUUAGAGAAUCAUUAAAGAACUGUUUAUAUUUUCAAUUUUACCAUCAUAAAUAUGUCUCUUCAAAAUCUACAACAGUAUAAUAUAAAAAGGGUGCAAAUUUUAAGUUAUCUCAUAAAUGAACCACCGUUAAGUAUUAACUAAUGAUUAACUAAAUUUUUCUAACAGAUUCUAACGACAGAAAUAUAUUUAAAAAUAUUACGACUUUUAUAAGGAUAACAUAUAAAAGUUAAAAUUUAUAGAAAUAUAUUUAUAAUUUACUAUAUUUGUAAAAAUCUGAAUGCAAUUAUUUUUACUUUUUAUUAGCAUUUUAUCGCCUAAUUAGAGAAAAGAUUCCUCCCACCACUAUACAGGUGAUCGAUUGGACUUAGGGAUGUCAAUGGGUAUGGAUACCCGAAAUUUUAUCCGAACCCGAACCCGAAUGAAACGGAUAUAUCCGAUGGAUAUGGAUAUGGAUUUGGAUAUGGAUAUAAAAAAUAAAAACCCGACGGAUAUGGAUUCGGAUAUGGAUUUUAAUUGUAUCCGACCCGAACCCGAACCCGACCCGAACCCGAAUUUAUUUUGUAUUAUAUAUAAUAUAUAUAUAAAAAUUUGAUGUUAUAUUUGAAUUUGUAUUUUAAAAUUUUAAAUUUAAUAUAAUAUAUUUUGAAAUAUUGAUAAAAUAAAUAAUUGUUUCGAGUUCAAAUUUUCGGGUUCGGAUUCGGGUUCGGGUUUCGGAUUUUUGGUCGGGUUCGGGUUUGGAUAUGGAUUUUUAAAAUCCGUCGGGUUCGGGUUCGGGUUCGGGUCUCGGGUUUGGAGUCGGGUUCGGGUUCGGGUUUUUAAAAAUCCGCCCCGAAUCCGACCCGUUGACAUCUCUAAUUGGACUUCUUCAUUUCCUUUAUAAAGAAAUGCCCUUUUCUUUCAUCUGGUUAAUAAGCUUCCGUUCACGUCAGGCAAUGAAUCUUUUUUCUUUUUUUCUUUUUUUUUUUUUCUCGUUGCCUCUUUCGCUUUCCUACUUAAUCUUAGAGACUUUUUCUUACUCUUUCCUUAGAUGGAUUCUCUACGCUGCUAAGAAGAAUCUCAGGGGUGAAGUAACAUUCAAUGAACCCACGAAUGUGCCGUGCCCCUCCACAGACGACUAGGGGUGUUCUAUCCUGCAUAUGUAUAUGUGUGUGUGUGUGCGCGUGCGCGUGCGUGUGCGCGCGUGUGAAUUUUAACCAUAUUCCAUCUAAGGAUGCACUACACUCUUUCAGAUUUUUGAUACUAAUUGAUAAGACUAGUAGACAAAUUGUAGUCAUUGAAUAAGAGGGGUGCAGAUCUUUCGCUUACUCUAGAGGACUAUAGAAAGCCAUGCUCAUUUUUUAAUGAAUUAAGUGCCGCAGAAUAAUUUGAACUUGCACCUGUUUUCAUAUUAUCUUCUAAACUAUUUGAACUUUUAUAUUUUUUUAUUGAAAAUUUUAAAAUUUUGCAAUUGAGCAACUAUUUAUAUUUUAACAAUUUGAAGGCACUAAUCAACCGUCCCUAGAGUAAGUGGCAAAGGGUUUGGUGGUUGGUACCCGAGACCCAAGUUCGAAUCCUAGUUGAUUCACAUUUCUAGCUAAGUUUAUUUCUAAAUAAAAUAAACGAAGCAGGUAGCGUGCUACCUAUCUUUCUCUCUCUCAAAAAAAAAAAAAAAAAAAAACAAUUUGAAGGCACUAAUGUAUAGUGAAACUGAUAAAAACUAAUAAACAAUUCAUGACAGUAAUUUAGAAAGGGCAUCAAAAUUCAGUCUUAUAUACAAUACCAAAAUAGACUUUUACUGUUUGAGUUUUACAAAUUAAAAUAAUAAAUAUGGUUAAUUUUAUUGAUCCAAAUAACUCUGGGCAUCAAGAACACUCAUCUAUACUAUUACUAUACUAUAUUUUUUUUUUUUAUUUUUUUACUAAUACAAUGUUAAUCAUUCUAUAUUUGAUAAAAUAAGAAUCUAGGUGGUGAAUCAUAAAAUUUCAAAAGUUUGAACAGUAGGUAAAAAUUUUGAACUGAUCCGAUCCGACAGGUUAGCAAUAAUAACUCGUUGGGCACAAACCACUAGCACAAAAACACUUAAGUUAAUUAUUAUUUUUAGAGUAGUGUCUUAUAUAUUCAACCAUAAUUUGUUUCCAUCCGAUGUGGGACUAUUAGGAUGUCAUAACUUCUUUAAAAUAAAAUCUAGCCCGACUAGUCCAGCUGAUUUUAAGUGGAAAAAAGUCUUCUCAAUCAAAAAGGAGUGAUUGGUCUAAAUUGUAAUUUUAUUUUAUGAAAAGUUUUUUUUUUCACAUAUAAGUACUUCUAUUUUUCGAAUUCAGUUUUCCAUAAAAUUUGGAAAGAAGUUGUUUUUAGUUUUUAUUAAACCAAACGAACAGAAAAUUAGAAAUUUCUCUUUUCAUAUAAUACAUUUUUUUCGAAAAAAAAAAUCGUACUUUUUUGAGAAACCAACUAACUCCUAAGUUAUACGUUUGAUAAACCGUACGCACAAUGCUCCUUCAAAUAUAGGAAGGACAUUUUGAACUAACCUCUUUGUUAUAUAUAAACCUAAAUUACAAUGUAGAAUAUAAAAUAUGAAAUAUAAAAUUUGAAUUUGAAUUUUAAAUUUUUGACUUUAGAAUAUGAGCUUUGAAUUUGAAUUGGAAUUUCAUUUUGAAUCUAAAUUUUGAUUUGACAUCUGAAUUUAUAUUCAUAUUUAAAAUUUAAAAUUGAAAUUGAAUUCGGAAUUCAAAUUUAAAAUGUUGAAUUUGAAUUUAAAGCUAUAUUGAAUUUGAAGAAGAUAUUUCAUAAUUUUUUUUUGUACGGGAGUAUAUUUAAUCUUUUAAAUUGUUAUAAUUAGGUUGUGCAAUCGAAAUUAAUUUGACUAAAAAUUAACGUAUUGCUGAUAUGAAAGUGAUGAAGCGUCUUAAUCAUCAUCGCGUCAUCGGUCACAAUAUUAUUAAAUUACUUUCACAUUAGCAAUAUAUCACUAUUUAGUCAAUGAAUUCGGGUCAAGAAAUUUGAAUGCACAAUUCAAAAAUUUUGAUCUCAAAUUACAGUAAGUUAUAAUCUGAGGAUGAAGACCAACAAUGUAACUUAGCCUAACUCUUUAUCAUAUGAUAAAGUUGUGCUUUAAAAAAAUUAAGGGUAAACUUUAAAUACCCCCUGUAGUUUCACAUUUUCUCACUUUAGUAUCAUGUAGUUUAAAAUGUAUCAAGUUAGCCAAUGUGGUUUUGUACUUUCUCACUUUAGUAUUCUGUGAUUUAAAGUGUAUCAAGUAAGCAUCUUGUGCUUUCAUUAAAUUCUUUUUAUUAUCCAUUUUAUUAUUUUUUUCAUUAAAUUAGUAAGAAAGUUAAAAUUAAAGGGUACUAAAGUGAAUAUUUGAUAGACCUAGAUAGGAUAUCUUAAGUUUUUUGUAUAUAAUUUAACAAAAUAUUAACAGAGUGUUGAUGCCAAAAUUAAAAUUAACACGCCGACCUAAUCCACAUAUGAGCUAAGGAUACGUGGUACAUCAGGAAUCGGCAAUAGGGCGCCUGAAGAUCAAGAGCGUUUAGACGGAAACGGUUGAGAAGUGGGUCGUAAUUUUCAUGUGAAGUGGGGUCUAACUUCCAUGAGAAGUGGGGCGUAACUUUCAUGAUCAUGGCUACACCACUUCCCCAACUAUUAUAACCAACCAAUAAUGUGGGCUAAUAAGAUAUUAUAAAUAGUAACUUUGAAGUCUGUAAUAACGAUUUUUCUCUCCCCUAAACGAGAAGACCACUGCAUUUUCAAUACUUUCCUUUCCUUCAUUUAUCGCUUUCUAGGAGUAGUCUACAUAUAAUUUUUUUUAUCCGCAUUUAUUGCUUUCCUAGAAGUAGUUUUUAAGUUAGAUCUCUGGAGUCUAUAUGCCCCACGGGCACACUCUGUUGUAAUCUAGAUUUUAGAGUCUAUAUGCCCUUCGAGCACACUCUAUUUUGUAUGAGUUUUCAACUUCAUUUUAAUAUAUAAAGACUUUCGACUCUUCAAGCCGACCAACUGGUGUGUGUUUCUUCUAUUCGGCGGCUCAUCUACCGAGUCAAAUUUGUAGCUGGUUCGUACAUUCGGCUCAUUCCAGCCGAACCGAAUCUUUAAUAGAGUUUUCGAACUCAGCUGAUCCGAUCUCUCAUCAGCCAAAUCGGUUGAUCCAGUCAAAGGGCGCAAACUUCGAGGGUCACCAUUCGUAGUCGUUCCGCAUUCCUACGCGCUUUCGAAGGGAGGUCUUUAACCAGGUCAAAGAUAAGGACGUUCGGCUCCCAACACAGAGAAAAAAAAAAUCAUUGAUAAAAUUAAAACUAAAAGGUACUAAAGUAAAUAUUCGAUAAACCUAGAUAGGGCAUCUACAGUUUUUUGUAUAUAAUUUAAUAAAAUAUUAAUUGAGGAGCUGACGAAAAGAGAAACAUAAAACCAUGGGAUUUUAAAUUGAUGCACUUGAAACCACAUAAUAAAAUAAGAAAGUGUGAAACCACAUUACCAAAUUGAUAUAUUUUAAAACACAAGCUACUAAAGUGAAAAAGAAUGAAAUCAUAGGGUGGUAUUUAAAGUUUUUUUCAAAAAUUAGUUGUAUCAUGAGCCGUCUGUUUAUUUUGCCGACAUCAAAAUAUGACGAUCUCGAUGUGCAUGUGGAUUCUCCGUGGCUCUCUCCACCGUAUGUAUACGGGAGUUUUAAGAAUUAAAUUCGUACAGAUUCCUAUAAAAAUAUUAAAUAAUAAAUAUAUUUCGUACAAAAUUUAAGUUAUUAAAUUUAUUUUUUAAAAAAAUUUCUGAUUUGUAAAUAUAUUUUUUUUUAAAGUUUUGAUUCGUUUAUAUUAUUCCACUACUAUUUGAUACACUAUUGAAAAUCCCCGCGCGGGGCUCAAGUGUCGCACAUCCGAGUCAGCCUUCUCGAGUCCUCUCCACGGACAAGUCUCCCAGAUCUCGCGUGUCCGACAUUACCCUAGGCCCGUGUCCCUUCAACCAUCCAAUACCCGGUCACACGGAACGCUAGACUUGGCCACUCCGCUAGCCAAGGGACGACUCAUGUCCUAUGGGUCGACGGGGGAGUCGGGGCCACUUACUCACGGUCGAGUCCCAGCGAUCGAUUCGUGAUAGGCUCCCCCACUUGAACCAUCGACAUCCUCAUCGAUGCUCCACCACUUCAAACUCCGUUGCCAGCAGUAUUACUCUUCCAGAUCAGAGCCACCCAUGGCCUUGGCAUCUCAUGCCACACUAACCUGCCAUCGAGUUCGUCUGCUCAACAACGCUUCUGAAAAACCCAUUGGUCCUCCUCGACCAAAUUACUCUUCCAGACCAGAGCCACCCACGACUUGGCAUCUCAUGCCACACUGACCUGCCAUCGAGUUCGUCUGCUCAACAACGCUUCUUAAAAGCCCAUUGGUCCUCCUCGACCAAACGCUUCAUACACAUAUUCUGUCCUUCCUCGAGUUUAACUUCGUCAAUGCAAGUGCCUACCAAAUGUGGCCCCCAAAGGUGUCACGGUCGAGUCCCAGCGAUCGACCCGUGACAGGCUCUCCUACUUAUUUUUUUAACAGUAGAUGCGCAAAAUGGCUAUUUUACGCUCACAAAUUUAUCUUUGCGAAGUACAAUCUUUCGUUCUCUCUUUUCUUGCCUUCGCCGCAGCACAUGCAGUGUGCCUCAACUUUGCCACGAUCGAGAGCCUUGCCUUCAACCUCGCCACCAUUAUAGGUCUCGCCGUCGCCUUUGAUAAAGAAAAGAGAAUGAGAGACAUGAUAAAACUCAAUGUUAAAACACAAAUUAUAAAUAUAAGAGAUAAAAAAUUAUUUUACUUCUUAGCUAAUUGUGAUUAUCAUUUUUAACUUAUGAUUAUCUAAAUUUUAUUAGCAGAAGAAUACAUUUGUAGACCGAAGAAUUUUUGAAGGAAUAAAUCUAGUAACUUAAAUUUUGUAAAAAUAUAUUUAUUAUUUGAAAGCCAUAUGUAAUUAUUUUUUUUAUUAAAUUACACGUGCAUAGGACAUAGUGUUUUGAGCCAAAAAAAAAAAAAUAAUAGCACGAAUUUCAAAGUAUGCUAACUCUAAAACAAUAUACGUAGAUAGGGCUGGCAAACGAGCGAGCCGGCUCGCGUUCGACUCGUGUUCGGCUCGAUAUUCGGCUCGCUCGAGCUCGACUCGAAAUUAAAUGAGCCGAGCUUGAACAAAAUAAAAGGCUCGAAAUUCAUUUCAAGCCGAGUUUGAGUAUUACUCGGCUCGUUCGAAUUAGGUUCGAAAAGCUUGAAAAGCUCGAAUAUAUAUAUAUAUAUAUAUAUAUAUAUAUAUAGAUAGCUGGGGCUACUAUACUCUUAUGAGUAUAGACCCCAUUGUACUCAUAAAUUUUUAACCGUUGAUUAAUGGGAUGUGUGGUUAGGAUGAUGGUGGUCUCCACUUAGAAUGAUAGUGGUCCCCUAGGGUUGAGUGGGUAUCUCAAAAAAAAAAAAAAAAAAAAAACACAUUUGAAGGCACUAAUGUAUAGUGAAAACUGAUAAAAACUAAUAAACAAUUCAUGACAGUAAUUUAGAAAGGGCAUCAAAAUUCAGUCUUAUAUACAUACCAAAAUAGACUUUUACUGUUUGAGUUUUACAAAUUAAAUAAUAAAUAUGGUUAAUUUUAUUGAUCCAAAUAACUCUGGCAUCAAGAACACUCAUCUAUACUAUUACUAUACUAUAUUUUUUUUUUUAUUUUUUUACUAAUACAAUGUUAAUCAUUCUAUAUUUGAUAAAUAAAGAAUCUAGGUGGUGAAUCAUAAAUUUCAAAAGUUUGAACAGUAGGUAAAAUUUUGAACUGAUCCGAUCCGACAGGUUAGCAAUAAUAACUCGUUGGGCACAAACACUAGCACAAAAACACUUAAGUUAAUUAUUAUUUUUAGAGUAGUGUCUUAUAUAUUCAACCAUAAUUUGUUUCCAUCCGAUGUGGGACUAUUAGGAUGUCAUAACUUCUUUAAAAUAAAUCUAGCCCGACUAGUCCAGCUGAUUUUAAGUGGAAAAAAGUCUUCUCAAUCAAAAAGGAUGAUUGGUCUAAAUUGUAAUUUAUUUUAUGAAAAGUUUUUUUUCACAUAUAAGUACUUCUAUUUUUCGAAUUCAGUUUUCCAUAAAAUUUGGAAAGAAGUUGUUUUUAGUUUUUAUUAAACCAAACGAACAGAAAAUUAGAAAUUUCUCUUUCAUAUAAUACAUUUUUUCGAAAAAAAAAAUCGUACUUUUUUGAGAAACAACUAACUCCUAAGUUAUACGUUUGAUAAACCGUACGCACAAUGCUCCUUCAAAUAUAGGAAGGACAUUUUGAACUAACCUCUUUGUUAUAUAUAAACCUAAAUUACAAUGUAGAAUAUAAAAUAGAAUAUAAAAUUUGAAUUUGAAUUUAAAUUUUUGACUUUAGAAUAUGAGCUUUGAAUUUGAAUUGGAAUUUCAUUUUGAAUCUAAAUUUUGAUUUGACAUCUGAAUUUAUAUUCAUAUUUAAAAUUUAAAAUUGAAAUUGAAUUCGGAAUUCAAAUUUAAAAUGUUGAAUUUGAAUUUAAAGCUAUAUUGAAUUUGAAGAAGAUAUUUCAUAAUUUUUUUUUGUACGGGAGUAUAUUUAAUCUUUUAAAUUGUUAUAAUUAGGUUGUGCAAUCGAAAUUAAUUUGACUAAAAAUUAACGUAUUGCUGAUAUGAAAGUGAUGAAGCGUCUUAAUCAUCAUCGCGUCAUCGGUCACAAUAUUAUUAAAUUACUUUCACAUUAGCAAUAUAUCACUAUUUAGUCAUGAAUUCGCGGUCAAGAAAUUUGAAUGCACAAUUCAAAAAUUUGAUCUCAAAUUACAGUAAGUUAUAAUCUGAGAUGAAGACAACAAUGUAACUUAGCCUAACUCUUUAUCAUAUGAUAAAGUUGUGCUUUAAAAAAAUUAAGGUAAACUUUAAAUACCCCCUGUAGUUUCACAUUUUCUCACUUUAGUAUCAUGUAGUUUAAAAUGUAUCAAGUUAGCCAAUGUGGUUUUGUACUUUCUCACUUUAGUAUUCUGUGAUUUAAAGUGUAUCAAGUAAGCAUCUUGUGCUUUCAUUAAAUUCUUUUUUAUUAUCCAUUUUAUAUUUUUUUCAUUAAAUUAGUAAGAAAGUUAAAAUUAAAGGGUACUUAAAGUGAAUAUUUGAUAGACCUAGAUGGAUAUCUUAAGUUUUUUGUAUAUAAUUUAACAAAAUAUUAAGAGUGUUGAUGCCAAAAUUAAAAUUAACACGCCGACCUAAUCCACAUAUGAGCUAAGGAUACGUGGUACAUCAGGAAUCGGCAAUAGGGCGCCUGAAGAUCAAGAGCGUUUAGACGGAAACGGUUGAGAAGUGGGUCGUAAUUUUCAUGUGAAGUGGGUCUAACUUCCAUGAGAAGUGGGGCGUAACUUUCAUGAUCAUGGCUACACCACUUCCCCAACUAUUAUAACCAACCAAUAAUGUGGGCUAAUAAGUAUUAUAAAUAGUAACUUUGAAGUCUGUAAUAACGAUUUUUCUCUCCCUAAACGAGAAGACCACUGCAUUUCAAUACUUUCCUUUCCUUCAUUUAUCGCUUUCUAGGAGUAGUCUACAUAUAAUUUUUUUUAUCCGCAUUUAUUGCUUUCCUAAAGUAGUUUUUAAGUUAGAUCUCUGGAGUCUAUAUGCCCACGGGCACACUCUGUUGUAAUCUAGAUUUUAGAGUCUAGAGAGAUAAGUAACACACUAUCCGCUUCGUUUAUUUCAUUUAGAAAUAAACUUAGCUGGAAAUAUGAAUCAAUUAGGAUUCAAACUUGAGUCUUGGAUACCAACAACCAAAUUUUUUGUCAUUUGAUCUAGAGACGGUCGGUAAUCAUAAGAUAUUUUUAACCUUUACUAGCAUAUGAUAUAUUUAUGUUAAGAUGCAAAUAUCUGGUACUCUCCCUCCACAAGGCCAAUUUUGUCAAUUCACCAAGCUCACCUCAUAGUAGUAGCAUCUUUGUGUUUACUCCAAAAGUUUACAAACUCUCUCCCUUCUACUAUCAUCUCUAUCACAUGAUCUCAAUUUUCACUCUCACUCCUCCCCUCAACUCUAAGGAGUGAGAGGGAAAAGAAACAACAAACAAACCCUCCUUCUCCAUCUCUAUAGCAAAUUUUAUACAUAUUGAUGGCGGUGCACAUGGUGGCGGUCGCGAAGCUGAAGCUUCUCGCGGGGGGCGGCCACAGCAACUGGAAGCUCCUCGCGGCGCUGCUCUGCCCCUUCGCGCUGAAGCUGCCCUUCUUCGCACAGUUUCCGUCGUCGUGUGCCGACAUAGCGGUCUCCGUCCGCCUCUUCCUCUUCCGCCUCAACCGCAUAUUCUUCGACGACAGCAUCCCCGCCGCGGGGCGGUGGAGAAGGGCGCUGCGGCUUCUCCACGAUCGGGCGAACGCCGACGAGGGGAUGCUUAGGAUGGUUCAAGUCAAUGAGGAGAUGCUCAAUGCUUUGUCCAUGCUAGCUCUCUAAAGGAUUGAUUCAUAUGAAUAUAUCAUGUUCAUGAGCAUAAUAUGGUCUGAAGCUAUUAUAGAUAUAUCAUUUUGUGUGGUGAGAGCAAAUAAAUAUAUCUCUAUAUUUUGCACCAAUUGCAUCUAUUGUAUAAGGUAUAGUAGUGUAAACGUAAUAUGAUUAUUAUAUAGAGUGUGUAGGGAAAAAAAAAGGAAUAAGAAAUACUUAACGAUUUUGUUUUUUGAACUUUUCACACUCAAAUGCACACUAUUUAUAUCAUAUUUUGAGGGGAUAUAGAAUUGUCCAAUAUUAUUCUGAAAAUUUAAUAGUGUUAAUUUAUAAUUAAUAGUGUUAAUAUGUUAAUAUAAACUCUAUUAACCUAUAUGAAUCUUCAAUGAUUUUGCCACGUGGCAAGUUUUCCUCCACCCUCACUAACCUUUUUUUUAAAUUAAUCUUUAUCAUGGCUUUUUCCCUCCCCUCCUCUCUAUUCAAUAACAUAUAAUCAAUGUGCUUUUAAUUUAUACGUUACUGAGUUUUUCCUCUUCAAUAUAAGUUCUUUCUUCUCCCUCAAAUAAUUCAUAACAUGCAAAAUUAAAAGAGGAGAGGUUAGUUUUGACUCAAAAGGGUGCAAAAUCAUGCAAACUUCUAUGAGAUUUUCAUCACCAUCGUCGUCAUGAUCGUAACAUUAUCAUCUCCAUCUUCAUACGACCUUUGUAGAUUUUUUCUUUAAAUGGUGAUUCUAGGCAGUUAUCAAUUUCAAUGGUUAUAUUGAUUAGUUCAAUUCAUACAUUUCUCUACCCAAAAAAUAAAGCACACUUGAAUUUUUAUUUUCCAAACUCCUUUCUUCAUCCUCUUCAAUAUUUUUUAUUUUUUUCUUCUAUUCUUUAUCCGCCGCAUCGCGCGGGCUACUACACUAGUAUAUAUAUAUAUAUAUAUAUAUAUAUAUAUAUAAUCAAUAUUAAUAUAUAUACUAUAUAUAUAUAUAUAUAUAUAUAUAUAUAUAUAUAUAUAUCUAUAUAUAUAUAUAUAAAAUGCAUUUAAUUAUAUAUAGUUUUAAUUUAAUUUGGGUCAUUAUUGUUGCCAUAAAAUAAACCCAAAAGAUACAACCGUGCAAUGAGCCAACUCCUAAAUUUACAUAACACACUCUCUCUUUCAGACUUUCACUGUUGCACAUAACCCUAAAACAUGUAACAUUCAAAUUCCCAAAUCCCUACUUUUCGUCCUCUCUCUCUCUCUCUCUCUCAGACGCUCAUCCAGUCAGGAAUCACCCUAGCUCACAUUUCUUAUAAUAUUUUAUAUUUUGAACUAUUGGACAUAUUGCAUCAAAUUGUAGGUAAUGUUCUAAAAAAUUAAACUAUUGAUUAUAUAAUGUCGAGAAUUUCAAUCGGCUCGUUUAGAGCUCGAGCUCGGCUCGACUCGAAAUUAGGCUCGCUCAAGCUCGGCUCGAAUUAAUUUCAAGCCGAGCUUAAACCUAGAUUUAGGCUCGAAAUUAAUUUCAAGCCGAAUUUGAGCUGACAUAAGCUCGCUCGAGCUCGGCUCGUUUCCACCCCUAUACGUAGAUUCUCUAAUUAACUUGUAUUCGAAAUUCGAGGCUCCCUAGGUUCUACUAGGUUCAAAAAAUUUACCCACUCAAAUUGAUUAAUCGAUUUUGUAAUCUACAAAGCUAAGCACGUUCUAGUUUUGAAAAAGGUUGAGCUUAAAUAACAUUGUCUAUAAGCAAAAGCUAAGGGGGUGCUUUGUUCUUCGAAAAAGUGUGAAAAAAAUCUUUCAAAAUUUUUUUUUUCUCUGUCCAUUUAGUUUGAAAAAAAAUAAAUAUUUUCAAAUUUCUUUUCAUGAUCGAAAACUAAUAUUUUUGUUUUUUAAUUUUUUUUAGAAAAAAUGCACUAGUUUUUUUUUAUAAAAUAUUAAAAAAAUUCAUAAAAACUUAUUUCUUUCAUAACCAAACAAAAAAAACUAAAAAAAAAAUUUAUAAAAUUAUUUUCUAGUAAAUUUUUUACACACUUUCUCAAGGAACCAACCAGCCCGUAAGUAGAGAUGUCAACGGAUCGGAUUUGGGGCGGAUUUUUAAAAACCCGAACCCGAACCCGACUCCAAAUCCGAGACCCGAACCCGAACCCGACGGAUUUUAAAAAUCCAUAUCCAAACCCGAACCCGACCAAAAAUCCAAAACCCGAACCCGAAAAUUUGAACCCGAAACAAUUAUUUCGUUUUUCAAUAUUUCAAAAUAUAUUAUAUUAAAUCUAAAUUUUUAAAAUACAAAUUCAAAUAUAACAUCAAAUAUAUAUAUAUAUAUAUAUAUAUAUAUAUAUAUAUAUAUAUAUAUAUAUAUAUAUAUAUAUAUAAAAUACAAAAUAAAUUUGGGUUCGGGUUGGGUACAAUUAAAAUCUAUAUCCGAAUCUAUAUCCGUCGGAUUUCUAUUUUUGAUAUCCAUAUCCGAAUCCAUAUCCAUAUUCAUCGGAUAUAUCUGUUUUAUUCGGAUUCGGGUUUGGAUAAAAUUUCGAGUAUCCAUACUUAUUGACAUCCCUACCCAUAAGGGCUCAUUUUGUAUUAUUGCCCUUUUAUUUUUUUUAAAAAAAAAAAUAGUAUAGAAGGGGAUAAUUGAUUGCUUGUAAUUUUUCUAUUCAAAAAAUUUAUUUGACAAUAAAAAAUAAAAAUAUAGAAAUAAUUUUUUUCACUUCAUUUUUUUUCAAAAAUUAUCAUGAGUCAGUUGGCCGGAGUUAAUGCAACAACGUUUAAAAAAAUAAAAAAAGGAAAAUAAUGUUAAAAAAUGAGGCCUUAGUUUUUGACAGAAAAAAAAAAAAAAAACCCUAUAAUAGGAAGUUGAACCAUGCUUUUGGAACUUUAAAAGCAAAAAAUUUAAGGUAAAAUUUGCCGGAUCAUUGGCCCUAACUAUUUACCCCCAAAGCUCGAGCUAUUAAAAAUAUACAAUCAAUUUAUUUAAAACGCAUAGACACAAUAUUCACGGACCUCAAUUGUGACUCAGUCCAACCAGCUUCACGGACCUCAAUUGUGACUCGGCCCAACCUAGCCUCACGUCAUUCCGAAGCACGCCAUUCCGAACGCGAUUCAGCCCAACGUAACCUUCCGCUAUAGGAUAGGAUGAUGGCCUAUUUAAGCCAACAAUCUCCCUCCAGCACUCGCACAUCGCAGCACGCGGCAAUCGAACUCACGAUCUCUGGCUUUGAUACCAUUUGUCGAAUCGUUGGCGCUAACCAUUAAUCCUAAAUCUUGAACUAUUAGAAAUAUGCAAUCAAUUUACUUAAAACAUACCAAUACAGCGCCUACGGGUCCCGAUUGUGAUUCGACCCAACCAUCCUCACGCCACUUCGAGUAUAACUCGGACCAACCUAACCUCACGCCAUUCCAAACGUGACUCGGCCAAAUCUGGCCUUCUGCCACACGGCAGGAUACUCUCUUAUUUAAGCUAACAAAAUUAUACAGAGCUUAUCUCAGCAAUAAAGCAUUUUGAGUUAGCUACCAAAAUUUUCAGAAUUUUGAUUUUGCUAUCUGAAAUUUUAAUUUGUUUGAUUUGAGUCAGUCAACGAUAUCUUAAUUUUAAAAUUUAAUCUAAUUACUUUAAUAAAUUUAUACUUAUAAAAACUGCAUGAAAUAUUAACUAAAUCUCUAAAGUGCACAUUUUAUCUAGAGAUUUAGUUAAUAUAUUUCAUACAAUUUUCACAGGUAUAAAUUUUAUUAAAGUCAGCAAUUAGAGUAAAAUUUAAAAUUAAGAUAUUGUUGACUGAUUCAAAUCAAACAAAUUGAAAGAUUAGAUAGUCGAUAUAAAAUGGUUCAUUGAUUAGAUAAGUUCUGUAUAUUUUUACCAAAAUUUUUAUUAAAAACCUCUACUUCUUACUAUAACAGAAAAUAAAAUCCUAUUAACGAGCUUUUGUUAAUACAUAAUUGAGUAAUUCUUUGAAACAACAUUUUUGCAUAAACACCGCCUUCCCUAGAGUAAGUGACAAAUGGCUUGGUGGUUGGUAUUCGAGAUCCAAAUUCAAAUCCUAGUUGAUUCGCAUUUCAAGCCAAGUUUAUUUCUAAAUGAAAUAAACGAAGCGGAUAACGUACUAUCUAUCUCUCCAAAAAAAAAAAAACCAACNUGCAUAAACUCCAACAAAAGGGAAUAUUAAAUUUAUGAAUAAUUGCCUAUAUACCUCUCAAAAUUUUAAAAAUAUCUCAUUUAUUUCUACUUUUUUUUUUUUCGAUAUACCCCUCAUAUAUUUCUCCGUUAUUCCAAAAUAGUCCUACAGUUACCACCCGUUAAAUUAACUUGCGUUAAACGUAAGUUAAAUAUCUACCAAAAUUUAAAAAAAUUAAAAUACCUCUUUUAUCCUUAACAUAAAGGCAAAUAAGAAAUGUUGAUGAUAAUAUAAAGGUAAAUUUGAAAAGACCAAAAAUUAAAAUGCUUUUUGUGCCCUUAGGGCAAAUAAGAAAACUCGGUCAUCAUAAAAAAGUAUAUUAAAAAUGGCAAAAUAGUAAUUUAAUAGAGAUAACAACUAUUGCUAACUAUUUAUUAAUAGAAUUUAACUCCAGGGUAUUUUUGAAAUAGGUUGGAACGUAAAAAAAGUAUUUUCAAUGCUAGCCUUCUAAGAGAGCUAAAUUGAAAAGUCGAAAAUUUUUCAGAAAUAUAUAAGCAAUUAUUUAAUACAAUAUUUUUAGUUCAAUACUAAAUUCAGACCUGGCAUACUAUGGAGGCAUGUUCGGAAUAUUGACCGACGGGGAAUUGUACUAAAACCCUCUAAACUUCAGCAUUUUUGCAAACAUGCAAUUAAAUUUUUAAUUUAAUUUUUAAACUUUAUCAAAUAAUUCAAUAGACCCUUCUUUCCGAGUGAAGUUACUAAUACUAAUUGGGCGGCCUUUUGAUCGUUUCAUGACACAUUUAAUCUUGAAUAACUUUAAAAUGGUAGGAAACAAAUAUAUAUUUCUUCUCUUCUAGUUAUGAUGAGGAGGAUCAGAAGUGAAUUGAAGUAUACAGUAGAUAUAUUUUCAAUUUUUUUUAACUUUCAUUGUUUUUUUUUCAUGUGUUAGAACAAAAGAAAUAGCUUUCUUUAUUUUUAAUUUAAACCUUUACAAGAUUUUUUUAACUUUGUGUUUUAAUCCUUUACAAGGGCUUAUUAUGGACUUUUCAAAUACCUACCACAAUAAUUGGAAUUCAAAUUACAUCCAAUCUGCGGCAAAUUUGAGAACAACAUAUAGAACUUCAUUUUUGAAUCAAAUUCAAUUUUUUCUUGAAUAUAAAACACAAAGUCAAAAGAAAACUUUCAGUGCAAAUUCAAAAUUUCAAUUUAAAUAAAAAAAUUAAAAUUUGGUUUUAAGAUUAGAAGUACAGUUUAGAUUCAAAUUUAAAAGUUGAAUUUAAAUUCCAAUAUCAAAACUUUACAUUGCAAUAACAAAUUCAAAAAUCAAAUUUAAAUUCAAUAUUUUUUUGAGUUGGAUACUUAAUAGAUUGCGCAUUAUCUAAUUCGGUAAACAAAAAAAAAACUAAACAAAAAAUUUUAAAAAUUUGUAGGCUGCUAAUAAAUUUGGUAUAUGCUGCUAAUUACUUUUCAAUAUUGUGCAGUUCACUAAUCUAAAUCGAUAAUCCGAUCAGUAAAUUACUUCAUGUAAAAUUUAAUCAUACCGUUCACUAAUUAACCAUUAGAUUUCAAUAACUAUGAUGUAUUCUAGUAUUCCUCUUAAUUAUUAACACGUACAUGUUCAUAACUAUACAAAUACCUACACAUAUACGUGCGUAUAUACUAACAUACAUGUACAAAUGUAUAUUGUCACAUUAAUUUUUUGGUUUUGUUUCGUUUUCUAAACUUGCAAUUCAAAAUCAAAUUAAAAUUUUUUUAUUAGAAAAUUUUGAAACCAAACCAAAAUUUUCAGUAGUCCUAAACUGAAUGUAAACUGAACUAACAUUGUCGAUUUAAUUUAAUUUGAUAUAUUUUUCGGUUUCAUGCCCGCCCCUAAUCUUCGUGCACAUUGCUCGGCUCUCAGCUUGCGUGGUUCCCCCUAUCAGUCUAUCACAAAACAUAAAUGUAUAUUUUUAAAAUAAAAGUUAAAAAACAAAAUUUUUCAUCUAAGCGGGACCACUCAACUCAACCCUAGGGGAACCACUCAACUCUAACUGACUAAUAUCAUUCUGAUCCUACAAUUUUUCAUCUAAGAGUUAAAAACUUGAUAGCAAAAAGAGCGUUUUACUAUUACUAGUAUUUCAGCCUAAUUCUAUAUAUAUAUAUAUAUAUAUAUAUAUAUAUAUAUAUAUAUAUAUAUAUAUAUGUGUGUGUGUGUGUGAAUAAUUACAAACUACAUUAGCAUUCGUGCCUGGACAAAGGUCCAAUAUGUACAAACAAAAACUAUAUAUCCUCUGUACUUCACGAUAAAAUAAUCCAAUUGGUGAGGAAUUGCAGGGGUGUACUUUGAAUGAACAGAUAAAGACACCAAGGCCAACUAAUUUCCCCAUGUGUCACCCUUUAAAUUAACCUCUCAUAAUCCAAAUUUCCCCCAUGCCUUCACGUGAUAUCUUUAUAAGGCAAGUUGCCUAGUUAAAAAAAAAUUCUAAAUUCUGUUACAAUAAAAAUUUAGAUAUGUAUAACUCUUUUAAGUUUCAAAAGUUGAAUCUUUAAGCCCUUGUUUGGUUGGGGUUAAGGGGUGGAAUAACCCCUUAACCCCCAUUUUAUCCCCAAACAUCCCAAAAAAUAGGUGGAGUUAGCUAAUCCCACCUCAAAUAAAUUAUUCCGGGUUAGCUAACCCCACCUAACUCCACCAAACUCCAACCAAACACUAUUUUUUAUUCAUAAUAACCCACUAUCUUUCUUAUCACACCUAUUCCAAUCAAUCAUUAUCCUUCUUUAUCAAUCAUUAUCUUCUUAUCCCACCUACCCAACCAAACACUAUUUUUCAUUAUUCUAGACUAACUCCAAUCCCCAACCAAACACAAAAAAACUUUAACCCCAAUUUAACCCUGAACUUAACUCUAUCCCUAGAAUAACUAUUUUUUCCUUAAUCCCGAACCAAACGGAGGCUUAAGUGCUUCUAACUUUGCAUGAAAAAGAUAUAUGUGCUAUCACAGGUAUACAUAGUUAGUUUUUUUUUUCUAAUAGCAAUAUUUACAUAGCAUUACUUUAUCAAAUAACAUUGCACUCUAUAAAGUGAGAAAAAGAUAUAUAUAUGCUAUCACAGUUUUUUUUUUUUUUCUAAUAGCAAUACUUUACAUAGCAAUACUUUAGCAAUAUUUACAUAGCAAUACUUUACCCACAGGUAUACAUAGAUAGUUUUUUUUUUUUUCCUGCUUUUUCUGAGGCCCUGGAUGCCUCACCUCUGUAGCCAAAUUCAUCUGUCCAAUGAAUGAAACAGGUAGCGUGCUACCUAUUCUCAAAAAAAAAAAAAAAAAAAAAAAAAAAAAAAACAUUGCACCCUAUAAAAGACCAUGAAGACGUACCCUUUUAGUAUCCAAGUGUUCUUUCUCAGACUUAGUGUCUAUUGGUUAAUUUUUAAUUAAUCUUCGGGAAUGUAAACCACUAAACUAUAAACCAAGUUUUGCAGUAGUGGAUAGGUCUCUCUAUAAACUAACUUAAAGCAUUUGUGUUCAUACUCUCUAAAAUUGUCUAUAAAAGGUAGUGGAAUGAGUAUACUCACAACACUUCACCAUAAUUAAGUGGUACCUUUCCUUUUUAAAAUUUUGCUCUUAAUUAGUAACAACAUGAGGGUUUCAUGUUUUCUCCUAUUGUUUCCUUUGGUGAUCUUCUUAAGCCAUUUUGGAGCUUGUGGAGCACAAGGCCUUGUAGUGAACUUCUACCUGUAGAUGAAAAUGGCAUAAAGUAAUUUAAGCCUUGUUAAUACACUUUGCUACAGCAAUUAAGUGGAAGGAAAAUUAAACACUUUCAUUCAAAAACUUGAUUACAAAAGGCUUACAAUUAAAGGACUUAAAUAGAAUAAGAAACUUGAAGUUUAAGAAAACCUAACCACACAUGUUCUCGACUACAUCCACUACACAUGUGCUCCUAGAAACUAGCUACCAUGAACUCCACAACAUUAAUUACCCACUACUUACACAUAUUAAGGCAUGUACUUAUCCACUAUCUACAUGAUCUUAGCCCACUACUUGCACCCACUACUUGCACAAUAAUAGGGCCACUAACAUGAUAAGAUUUGCAUCAUUUCCAACACUACCAGAAUAGUUGCCCCAGUGCUGAGGCCAUUGUGAAGAACAUCACUUGGUCUCAGGUCUCAUCUAAUCCUGCUUUACCUGCUAAGCUUCUGAGGCUUUUCUUUCAUGAUUGCUUUGUUAAGGUAAACUCAGUGUUUGUAAUAAUGCAUUCAUUUGUGUAGAAAUGAGAAUCAUGUUCUGUGUAUAUAUGUUGGUUUAAGCAUGAAUAUAUAUAAUGUUACUAGGGUUGCGACGCGUCGAUAUUGUUGGACAACCCUCAAAGCGAGAAGCAGGCGGGACCGAACCAGUCGCUGGGCGGAUUCGUGCUGAUCGACGCUAUAAAGGCCCAACUAGAGAAGCAGUGCCCCGGAAAGGUGUCGUGCGCCGACAUCAUCGCUCUCGUGACCCGGGACGCGCGCCGUCUCUUUUCAAGUAAUAAGCUUUACUGAAGAAGUUGAUUACUUGUUAUAAUUAACUCAUUCUUAAUCAAGAUUAUUUAGUUUAAUUUAAGAAUGCCUUCUUAAUCAAGAAUAUUAUGAUUGAAAUUAUGCAUGCAGUUUAAAGCAUCGUUGUGGCAAGUUGAGACCGGCCGGAGGGACGGGACGGUCUCGCUCGCGUCGAACGUCAUCCUACCGUCGCCCCUCUCCGGCUUCGACGGCCUCAAACAGAGUUUUGCAAGUAAAGGGCUCAGCGUUUCCGAUCUCGUGGCUUUAUCAGGUACAUGUUACUAGUGACUAACAUGCUGGCCUAAUAUCAUAUUGUUAAAUAUAAAAAUACGUAAACACCGUUUUCUACCGACUUAAAUGUUUAUAGAAUAACGGUUAUUUCGUAUUAUUUAUUCUAGUAUCAUAGUAAUGAUCCAAUAUUUUCAACAUCCUAUCAUUUUUUUUUCUCUGAAAGUUCUAGUUAUUAGUCAUGACUAAAAUACUUUCUACGUACCAAAACUUCCAUAAAAAUGUCUGCUGAAAUUGAUCAAGUUUCUUCAUAUCUUCUUCAUCCAUCUGACAAACGCAGCUAAUAUUUUUAUAUAACGCUGUUUAUAUAUUUUUAUAUUUAGCACAUAGAAAAUAAGCGAUUAUUAUUAUUCGUCAAAAGGGUGAAUCUAUAUAAGAAAGUGCAUUUUACUACUACUUUCAGGUGCACACACUAUGGGAAGAGCAAACUGCGCGUUUGUAACCCCGCGGCUCUUCACCUUCAACGGGAACGGCGGCGUCGACCCGCUGCUCGACGCGGCCUACGCAAACUCGCUGAAGAAGACGUGCCCGAGGGCGCCGCCCGCAGCCGCAACCGUGGAGAUGGACCCAGGGGGCUCGCUCAAGUUCGACGCAAGUUACUUCGUCGCGCUGAAGAAGAACCAGGGCCUGUUCCUGUCGGACGCCGCGCUCCUCCAAGACCCUGUGGCCGCGAAGCUCGCGUCGGGCUUUCAGGACCAGAAGACGUUCCUCGCGGCGUUCGUGCAGUCGGUGCGGCGGAUGGGCGCCGUCGGCGCGCUCACGGGGAACGCCGGGCAGAUCAGGAAGCAGUGCCGAGCCGUGAACUCGUAAGAAAAAAAAUAUUAGAAAAAUUAGGAGUUCCUUGAGAUUGGAAUUUAAAAACUUCUACUCUACCGUAUAAAAUAAUUAAUUACUCCAAAUGCUUAAGCGUUUGGUUAGUUUAAAAAAAAUAAAGGUUCCAUAGGAGGGUGGUCUAAUCUUUUGAAUUUUAGUUCUUAUCUUGGAGUAAAAAAUUAGUUCUUCGAUCUGGUUAAUAUAAAUGGUGAAUGAGAGAUUAGACCCUCUCUUCUAAGGGUUUCCCAUAUAAUUUCUUUUUUCUUUUCUUUCUUUUUGGGUACAAACCGCUGCUUCUUGUGAUCGCGCGAAUCUCACCGUUCAACAUUCCACGAAGAAUAAAUUAGUUUUACAUUGAUCAGUCCUUUUCUGCCCAAAAAUGUUUGUUAAAUUACACUCAUGUUAACUCUUUUCUGCAUAUACGUAUACAAUAAUUUGAAUUCAAAACUUUAAAUCCCAAAAGAGAUCUAGUGUCAAUCAACUAUUGUGAGGGACUGUUUGGUUGCAUGUUAGUAUAACUGCACUAUAAUUAUAACUAUAUAUAGAUUCAAAUUUGGUGUUUUGUUUGUUACUGUUAGGAGCCGAAUUCCCUGAUCCUUGACCUAGUCAAAGAUCUCUCUCGAGGAGAGUGUCGGGAUGCGGAACGGCUACGGUCAGUGACUCCCAAAGUUUGCGCCCUUCGACUGGAUCAAGCAAUUCGGCUGAUGAGAGAUCGGAUCAGUGAGUUCGAAAAUCUUUACUAUAGACUCGGUUCGGCUGGAAGAGCUGAAUGUACAGAAUGCAUAAGAUUUUGGGUCGGCUGAUGAGCCAAAUAGAUGGAAUACACAGUGACUGAUCGGCUGAAAGAGCCGAAUAUCUUUAUAUAUUAAAAUGAAGUUAGGAACUCAUACAAAAUAGAGUAUGCCCGAAGGGCAUACAGACUCUGAAAAUCUAGAUUACAACAGAGUGUGCCUGGGGGGCAUACAGACUCCAGAAAUCUAACUUAAAAACUACUCCUAAAAAAGCAAUAAAUGCGGGUAAAAAAGAUUACAUGUAGACUAGUACUCCUAGAAAACCCUAAAUGCAGAAAAGGAAAAUAUUGAAAAUGCAGUGGUCUUCUCGUUUAGGGAAGAGAAAGAUCUCUAUACCACUACAACAAAAACGGUUUAUAGCGACGCUUUUAAAUGUAGGUACAUGUCAAAAAAGUGCUGCUAGCUAAAAUUACCGACACAUUUAAAAAGUAUUGCUAUAUGUGGGGUCGCUAGGUAUAUAGUGACAGUUAAAGAGUGUCGCUAUAACCUAAAAGAGUGCUACUAAUUUACCAAUACUUAUUUAAGCAUUUAGCAACCGCCGAAACUCUAUCUCGUUGGCUGCGGUGGCGGAGGGGAACGACAGGAAAGGCUCUUCGUCUAAAAUUUCAGUGGAUUGAGUGAAGAGAGAAGAAAAGAUGGUAAUUGAUUUUUUUUUUUUUUUUCUUUUCUGUUUGUAAUCGGGCCAAAUAGAUUGGGUGUAGUGGAUUGAGUAGAGUAAUCUUUUAUUUUUUGUUGGAUUGGACUUUAUAUUUAGGCAUUAGUAGAUGUUUUUUUAAGUUUUAGGAUAAAUGUGACACUUACUCAAAAGUGUCCCAAACAUGUGUCCCUAUAACCUAAUUCUGUUGUAGUGCUAUAACAGACUUCAAAGUUACUAUUUAUAAUAUCUUAUCAGCCCACAUUAAUUAUUGGUUGGUUAUUGUAGUGUGGGAAGUAGUGCGGCCAUGAUCAUGAAAGUUAUGCCCCACUUCUCAACCGUUCCUGCCUAAACGCUCUUGAUCUUCAGGCACCUUCUUGCCGACUCCUGGUGUACCACAUGUCUUUAUUUAUUUGGCUUUUAUAUGGGUUAGGUUGGCGUGUUAAUUUUUUGGUAUCAACAGUUACAUUUGAAUUCAACAACUAAAGUAGGAACUGCGGAAAGAGCCUCAAUUGCGACAGUUGGAACUAUACCCAAGUCAGCUGCAAUUCCAAGUACUGCAGCAUUUGGAAAAAAGUAAUUUUAAAUAAAAAUAAGUUUGCCUCUCUAUUAUAAACUUUUAAAUAAAAAAUAUUUUUUUCAUACAUAGAAAUAAUCUCGUCAUCAUAUAUAUAAAAUGAUAAAGUUUUAUAAAUAUUCUUCUCAACAUCAUACAAUCAAAUAAAUUAUUUCUAGUUACAACACUGCUUACUACAUCCAAAAAUAAUGCAUAUAAUUAUAACUAUUGUACUUUUAACUGCAUGUAUUUUAACUACAUUGUAUUUAUAAUUACAUCCAACCAAAUAGCCCCUAAGUACAUAGUGGUGACAUGCAUGGUACGUAACUCAAAUUUCUAUUUUGGAAACAUGCAGAUAUCUAUUUCAAAAUGUAAUUGUAUAAGAUCUGAUUAUUUUUAUGACUACUUGGAUAAGUCUAUUUUUUCGUUGGCCAAUUUGCAUAAAAAAUCCACUUAUUUUGGGUUUUUACAAAAGCGGGUCACCUUUUUCGUUUUUACAGAUUCGGUCCGCUUUCUCAGCAAACUAACCAAAAUACUCUUAUACAAUUUUCUCUCUCCUUAUUUUUUUCUCUAGUUCUUUUUUCUUUCUCUUCCCAGAGAGCGGCGGAGACAGAGGCGGAGGCGGAGGCGGCCUACUUCGAUUCUGUCGAGCGCAUCCUUACCCUCGCCCGCACAACCCCCACCUUCCUUGCCUCCGACCCUGCCGAGGCUGCGCGACGACUUUUUUUUUUUCUUUUCCUCUCAGACUCUCCUCCACCGUCUUCGACGACGACACCUCUCUCGCCUUUCUCCGCCCUUCUCGUCCUCUCCUUCUCCCUCCUCCUCUGCCGCCUCCGACGAAGACGCAUCUUCGCCAGCGCCGACACCGACGCCGACGCCGACCCCUUGGAGGUUACUGCGGCACUGCAGCCUCGGAGCGGGGGGUCCUUAGCGGCGUCGUCACCGGUGCCGUGACCGUUGGCAGAGAGGGUUGACCAAAAAAAAUUAUAGAAGAAGCAAGAAAAAAAAAUAAAGAUAAAAAUUUAUAGAAAAAAAAAAAUGAAAAUAAAAUUGUAUCGUUAACUGUAAAAAAAAUUAUAAAUUGCACUACUUAAAAUGUAAACUGCAACUUUAAGAUGAAAAUUACACUUUUUAAAUAAAAAUUACACUCUUUGGAGAUAUUUACAUUGUUUCUCCUCUUAUUGCACUCUUUCAUAUGUAAACUACAUUCAUUAAAAUGAAAGUUACACUCCUUAAACGAAAGUUGCACUCUUUGAGAGAUAUUUACAAUGUUUCUCCUAUUCUUGCACUCUUUGAGAUGUAAACUGCACCCCUUCAAGAGAUAUUUAUACUGUUUCUCCUCUUGUUGCAGUGUUUCUCCUUUUGUUGCACUAUUUCUCCUCUUGUUAUACUAUUUUUUAUCUUAAACUGCACCCUUUAAAAAAAGAAACAGUAUAAUAAGAGAAGAAAUAGUGCAACAAGAGGAAAAACAGUGCAACAAGAGGAGAAACAGUAUAAAUAUCUCUUAAAAGGAUGCAGUUUAUAUCUCAAAGAGUGCAAGAGGAGAAACAGUACAAAUAUCUCUCAAAGAGUGCAACUUUCGUUUAAAGAGUGUAACUUUCAUCUUAAUGGAUGCAAUUUACAUCUAAAAGAGUGCAAUAAGAGGAGAAAUAGUGUAAAUAUCUCCCAAAGAGUAUAAUUUUUAUUUAAAAAGUGUAAUUUUCAUCUUAAAGCUGCAGUUUACAUCUUAAAUAGUGCAACUUAUAAUGUUUUUGCAGUUAACAAUGCAAUUUCAUCUCUAUCCUUCUAUUUCUAUAAUUUUUUAUCUUUAUUUUUUUCUUGUUUCUUUUAUAAUUUUUUUUAGUCACCCGUCUUGCCAACAGCCACGGCGCCGGUGACGACGCCGCUAAGGACCCCCAGCUCUGAGGCUGCAGUGCCGCAGCAACCUCCACGGUGUCGGCGUCGACGAAGAUGCAUUGUCGUCGUAGGCGGCAGAGGAAGAGGGAGAGGGAGAGGACGAGAAGGGCGGGGAAGGGCGAGAGAGGCGUCGUCGUCGGAGACGGCGGAGUAGAGUCAAAGAGGAAAAAAAAAAGUGUCGCGGCGCGGUCUCAGCGGAGUCGGAGGCGAGAAAGGUGGGGGGUGCGUGGGUAAGGGCAAGGGCGAGGGCGAGAGCAUGAGGGUGAGAGGCGAGGCGGACCGUUUCCGCCUCCGCCUCUGCCUCCGCUACUUUUUUUCGACGANCUCUGCCUCCGCUACUUUUUUCGGCAAGAGAAAAAAAAAAAGAACGAGUGAAACGAAAAUGAGAGAAAAAGAGGAGAGAGAAAAGUUAAUAAGGGUAUUUUGGUCAGUUUGCUGAAAAUUCGGACCGAAUCUGCAAAAUAAAAAAAGGCGGCUUAGUUUUGCAAAAGCCCAAAAUUAGUGGAAUUUUUAUGCAAAUUGGCCUUUUUCGUUUAACAACAUAUAUAUAUAUAUAUAUAUAUAUAGAGCUAGGCUCCUAUGCUUUCGAAAGUACAGAGCCUCCGUACUUGUAAGUUGUUUUUAAUAAUGGGACAUCCGAUUCGGCGAUCGGUUCCGUUAGACAUGAUCUACGCUAUUAGAACUACCUAGAAACCAAAUUUCAUAAAUUUUUUACUUCGUUUGUCUAGUAAACAAGUAGCCUCAAAAUAAACGGCUGAAAAUAAAAAAUCUCAUAAAAAAUAGUGAUAAAUGACUCAAAUUUCAAAUCAGAAGUAUUGGACUUGCUAUUGAUGUUAAGUAGAAUUUUCUAUUAAAUUUUCAUCUAAUUUGGAUACUUCUACACAGUUGAACUUAAAAACGUGCCACUUCGGCCGUUAAAAUAGUCAUUUUUGAGACCUUUUGAUCGCUUGGUAAAUCAUGUCAAAAAAUUAUAAAAUUUGGUUUCUAAAUAGUUCCAAUAGGGUAGAUUAUAGUUAACGGAGCCGAUCGUCGAAUCGGAUUUCCUAUCAUCGAAAACAACUUACAAGGACAGAGGUCUCCGUACUUUCGAAAGUACAGGAGACUUAUACUCUGUAUAAUUGGAUUACUAUACACCGUUAAACAAGCAAACGGCUCAUAUAGGCCGCAAAAAAUUGUCGAUUUUACGACACUUUGAUCACCAUGUAAAUUUUUUUAAAAUUUUAUGAAAUUUAGUUUCUAGAUAUUUCAAAUACUCUAGAUCAACUUCAACGGCUCCGAUCAUCGAUUCGGAAUCUCUAUAAUCAAAAACAAUUUAAUAGGACAAAUUUUUCGAUAUCAUUUACCGUAUGAUCAAAAGCUCAGAAAAUUGAUAAUUUUUAAUAGCCGGUAUGAGAUAUUUGCUAGUUUAACGGUAAAAAAGAAUCAGAAUAGGUUGAAUUUUUAAUAGAAAAUUCUAUUCACUAUCUAAAUAAAGAUCAAUAACUCCAAUCUUAAAUUGAACAAUCCGAUCAUCCAUUUUUAGGAUGUCAUUCAAUUUUAACCGUUCAUUUUAUACCUACUUGAUGGACUUUAUAAUGAUUUGAAAAAUUACGAAAUUUAUUUUCUAGAAGUUUUAAAUACUCUAGAUCAUGUUUAAUGGUGUGGAUCGUCGAUUCGAAAAGCCCGACAUCAAAAACCACUUAUAAGUAUAAAGGGCUCUAUACUCAUAAGAGUAUAGUAGCCUUACUCUAUAUAUAGAGUUGAGCUAGAAUACUAUCGAUAACAAACGAGUUUCGUUGCCACCCAUUUAUUUUCGAUGAUGAAGCCUUCAAAUAGAUGAUCGGUACUGUUGAACAUGAUCUACACCACUUGAAUUGUUUAGAAAUCAAAUUUCAUACAUUUUCGAUAUUAUUUUCUUAUCCAUUGAGUGAACACAAAAAUGAACGGCUGAAAAUAAAUAUUAUUUAAAAAAUGAUGAUAGGAGUCUUGUAAUCAUGAUCAACGGUAUAGAUCUUGUUUUAAAUAGUUUAAAAAAUUUUCUAACAAAAAUUCAAUUGAUUUGGAUAUCUUUACGUCAUUAAAAGAGAAAACAUCUCAUAUCGACCAUUAAAAUUACAAAUUUUGAAAUCCUUUGAUCACUAGGCAAAUGAUGUUGAAAAGAUUUGAAAUUUGAUUUCUAAACACUUCAAAUGGUAUAGAUCAUGUUCAACGGUGCCGAUCAUCGAUUUGGAGACUCUAUUAUCGAAAACAAAUGGGUGGCACCGGAAGCCGUUUGCUUUUGAUAGUAUUCUAGCUCAACUCCUAUAUAUAUAUAUAUAUAUGCUGGGGCUACUAUACUAUUAUGAGUAUAGAACCCCUUGUACUCAUAAAUUUUUAAUCGUUAAUUGAUGGGAUGUGUGGCUAGGAUGAUGGUGGUCCUCACUUAAAAUGAUAGUGGUCCCCUAGGGUUGAGUGGGUAGUUAGUUAAAUAGUACGAUCUAACGGGUGAAAAUGAUUAAUGGAAUAAUUCUAAGAACCGAAAACUUAUGAGUAUAAGGGAGCCAAUACUCAUAAAAGUAUAGUAACCGGACUCUAUAUAUAUAUAUAUAUAUAUAUAGAGAGAGAGAGAGAGAGAGAGAGAGAGAGAGAGAGAGCGCUAGACUGAUAUGCUAUCAGUAGCACGGAGGCCUCCGUGCUACCAAGUUGUUUUCAAUGAUGCCACUUCCAAAUCGACGAUCGGCUUCGUUAGACUUGAUCUACACUAUUAAAAGUAUUUUGAAACUAAAUUUCAUAAUUUUUCGGUAUCAUUUACCUAUCAAACGAGUAGUCUAAAAAUGAACGGCUGAAAAUAAAAAUCUCAUAAAAAAUGAUGAUAGAAGACUUGAAUUUAAGAUCAGAGGUACUGAUCUUACUCCAAAUAGUAAAAAGAAUUUUCUAUAAAAAAUUUAUUUGAUUUGGAUUGUUUUACACCGUUAAAUUUACAAAUGCAUCACAUCAACCAUUAAAAUUGUCAAUUUUGAGACCUUUUGAUCACUAGCCAAAUAAUGUCGAAAAAUUAUGAAAUUUAGUUUUCAAAUAUUUUUAAUAGUGUAGAUCAAGUUUAACGGAACCGAUCGUCGAUUUGGAAGCCGCAUCAUUGAAAACAACUUGGUAGCAUGGAGGCCUCCGUGCUAUCGAUAGUAUACCAGUCUAGCUCUAUAGUCUCUGUUUGACCUGGCAAAAUUUUUGCACCCAGAAGUUGUUUGGGAAGACCAAACUACAGUAUCAGAUUGCUACUAAGGCUUAGUUUAGUAUUGAAGCUCAUCUAACGCUAUUAGAUAAAAUAAAGUUAGGAUAAUAGUAUAUAGAGAUAAAUUUUUGCGUUCUCCGAUGGAACUGCAAAAAAUAUAUCGUAACUGACUCAUCGUGAUAUGCGAAAAGCAAUAUUAUAUACAGAAACAAAUAUGAUAUUUUUUUAUCAUACUUUCUCACUGUACGUAAUGUAAUAUCCCGCAAUUCCAAAUAAAGCCUAAGUUUGGCCAAAGGACUGACCGC